UCCAGCUAGUGUUAAUAUCAGAAAAACGUGACUCUAACUGGUAAGUUGGAGACUGAAACAGAGAUCAAAGCACCUGUUGAUGAGUUCUUUAAAAUCGUCAGGAGCCAAGCACACCAACUUCCUAAUAUCUGCUCUGAUAAAACACAAAGUCGAGGUACAUGAAGGUGACUGGGAGACUCAGGGCUCCGUCAAGCAUUGGAGUUACACCAUUGGUAGGCCAGCUCAAACUAAGAGCCCCAAAACACCAGCGUUAUAUUCUGUGUUAAAAUAGUUUUUGAUGUUUUUGUUUCAUUUCAUUGUUGCUCUUUUAGAAUAAAUACAUGCCUCUUUUUACAUUUUUUUUUCUUAUAAAGAAGUGACUAUAAUCGAUGGUUCUUAGUAAUGUAUAUGGCGUCUAAUAUUAGCUUCAACAUAUUCUAAUUAUGUUUGACCUCACAUAUUGGUUUCGACUAGGAGGGAAUUCUGUGAGUAUUAAGGAGACUAUGGAAUCAAUGGAUGAAGAAAACAGGUCCAUCACGUUCGGUUUUGGAUGGGGAGGUGCUGAAAGACUACAAGAGCUACAAGUUUACCACGCAAGCGAUACCAAAGGGGGAGGGCUGCUUGGUGAAAUGGACCGCUGAAUAUGAGAAGGCAAGUGAGGAUGGGCCGGAUCCUCGUGACUAUCUGGAGCUUACAGUUAAUGUCAUCAAAGACAUCGAAAGUCACCUUCUCAAUGCAUAACACCGAGACCAUAUAUGCCGUUUGCUAGUAUUUCUCAUGUAAAUAAAGUCUGGAACUUGGAAGUGCAUGUACCUACGAUCUCUAUCCUUCAAUAAACGCAAAUUCCAGCUGUGGACUGGGUGAUUAAUGCCGAGAAGAUAAACUUUCCUUAAUUAUUUGUGCAAUAAUGUUAUUGCAUGCGUGUAAUCGGUUGUAUGCUUGUCUAGGAGUCGCUUUGUGAUUUUUAGUUGGUGUCUCUUUUAAUGGGGUUCUUGCAUGUAAUGUGAAGACCGUAUGAUGCAUGAGGAAAUAAAUGAAGUGAAAAUCACCAAGGGCUCAAUCACGAGGAGCCUUUGAGUACGUCCACACAUAUGUGAAAAAUCAGCCUGUAACAAAUUAAACUCUUAAUCAUUAAAAGGGCAAAAUCCCACUUUGCACAUAAUCUAAAUAAUUUAUCUAAAAAUCUAAGAAUCUCUCUCUCUCUCUCUCUCUCUCUCUCUCUUUUCAAUUUGACGAGGACAUAAAAGUAUAAAGUGAUAAAGUUUAAGGGUAGUGACUUCUAUUGAAUUUUGUGAGGUGGUCAGCUAUAAAUUAUGCAAUGAGGAAAAUAGAUUAAUAGUGUUCAUGCAACCAAAUAGAAAAUAGAAAGUAAUAAUAACAUUAAUAGUAAUCAUUUAAUAAAUACAAUUAAUGCAAUUAUGCUAAAUGAAAAUAAUAAUAAUAUUAUUAUUAUUUUUAACUUUAUUUAUGAUACAAAUGAAUUAAGUCUCUUAGAAAUUUGUCCUGUCCAUUUUUAUUUUUUUUAAAGUAUCAAAAUAUUUAAAUCUCUUAAAAUAAAUCGAGUAAUAUUUUUUUUAAAAAUAUAUUAUGAUUUGUUUGAUUGUUAUGCAAGUGAAUUUUAUUAUUAUUAUUUUAAAACUUUGGUUAUUAUUGACCCUGAUCAAUAAGAGUAAGGUUGUGUUUGUUUUUUGGCUGAAUAGAAAAAGUCAAAUAUUUUAGUUUUUUCUAUUCAGUUAAAAGUAACUCAUUGAUAUCAACCAACAUCAUUAAACUAAACUUAUUGAUAAUAAGUUCACUUUAAUUAUGUUGGUUAGUAUCAAUAAGGUAUUUUUAGCUGAAUAGAAAAAACCAAAAUAUUUGGCUUUUUCUAUUCAGCCAAAAAACAAACACCACCGAUUGUUAAUCCUUAUUAUCUUUGGUGGGGGUAGUGAUGCAAUGCAAAUCUAGUUAAUAAAGAUGUUAUUACCCUUUCGUGUACUAGUAAGAGGAACAAAGGGAGCGUAACAACCUAGUACAAGUCCCAAUUUUGAACACCACAUUAUUAAUAAUGGACCAAAGUAAUUUGUUCAUAAUUUUUUUUUAAUAUGAACUGAGUAUACAAAGUGUGUUAUUUAAUCAUAUCUUUAAAUUGAAAGUGUUUAAUUUUUUUUUGUGAAAAAAGUUGAUUUAAUUAUUGAAUUAAAUACACUUGCUAAUUGAUUUUUAUAGAUGCCUAUUAAUGUCUUAUAAUUUAAUUUUGUACAAACCUUAUUUGACUCACCAUUCUAUAUUAUUAUUAUUAUUAUUAUUUUAAGGUAAAAGUGGUAUCUACAGGAGAGAUCAUGAUAGGAAAAGUGUUUUUAUUAGCAACACCUUUGAAAUUGAUUUAUUUUUAAAAUUGUUUACUUAAUAACUUUGGAAUUGAUUUAUUUUUAAUAUUGUUUACUUAAUAUUGAAUUCAAUUAUAAUUUCUAGAGUUUUUAUUUAAAUGGUGGGAAGAGUCAUUAAAUUUAUUAUUAAGAUUUUUUAAUUAGUUUUGAAUUUAUUAAUUAAAGUGUUCAUGUGUUUGAAACAAAUGUUGAUACAAAAUGAUCAUGUUACCUUACUCUUUGGUAUUGUGGUGUCGUAGUUGGUUUUAUAGGUAUUUUUAUUAUAGAGUAUUAGAAUAUGUUUCACUGCUUUUAUUUUAAAGGUGUAUUUGGUACGCGGGAAUAUGAAUAAAAAAAGGAUGAGAUUGGAAGUGAAUCAUAAUCUCAUGUAUAAGAGAGGAAUCAAAAUCCUAGUGAGAGGGGGAUUUGGUUUUCAUAACACUGAAUUUUUUAUUUCUAUUCUCAUUUUAAAAAAACAAUUCAAACACAUUAAUAAAUGUGAAUGAAAUUAGUUUCUCAUUGCCAUUUUCUAUUCCAACAUUCCAAACAUGCUCUAAGUGUUUUUAGUAAAAAUGUUUUUAUUAAAUAUGUUUUUAAGAAAGUCACCUAUUAAAUAUUUUUUCAAAAAAUAUUAUAAUUGAUUUUUUAAAAUUACAUCUUGUUUUUCAAAAUUUUAAAAAUAUUUCUUAAACUUUUUUAAAAACAUUUUUAAUCUGAACACCCUUCUUAAAAUCAUUGAAACCAGACUUUUAAUUAACCUACCAAUCUUCAAAACAAUCUAAGAUGCAGAAUGAUUUUGUGAGUUAAGGUCAAGUGGGCGCUUCAAUAUUUAUCAUGUCUUUAAAAAAACUUCAGGGCCCAAGUCCAGAUUCUCAGAUAUGGAUUCUAACAGUUGCUUCCAAUCAUGUUGGUGAAAUCAAAUGAGUGUCACAGAAAUCGCUAUCAUUGUGGUACUGGAAAAAAAGAAGAGAUUCCUCCACUUGUUCUUGAAAUUUAUCUGCACGCAUGCAAUAAAUCAAUGCUCCAUAAUCUCCUGCACAUGCAAAUUAAAAUCAAAAUCAAGCCAUUGGCCUCUCACAUUACCAUUCUUGGCUAUUUUCUGCUAUGUAUAUAAAGAGUAAUAACCACAUCAUCCAACUUUUGCUCUGGUCGUCAAACUUCCACCACUUCUUUCCUAACCUCCUAACAUCAAAUACAAAAAUGCCACAUCCUUAUUAUUGAAAAUUAAAUUCCCACAAGCUUAUGCCAGAUUUUUUGUUGAUUGGAUAUUCGGUCUCAUAAAAUUCAGUACCGAUCACAAACAUUCGUUAUCCACCCUUGAUAUCGAGUAGGAUAGAGUAUCCAUAUAUGGACUCGGUGCACCAUACCUUCCCUCUAUAAAAGGUUCUAGGGUGGUGAACUAUUUUUAUUUUUCUUCAAACGCAGCCUCGGCUAGUUACUAUAUGGUUUCCAAGCACUAAAAGGAAAAAAGAAAUGGCUCAGAUAGCUAAGAUGGAAGCCCAAGUAGAGAUAAAGUCCCCUUCCAAUAAGUUCUACGAGGUCUUGAGCAGCAAAGCUCAUCUCCUUCCCAAGGCCUGCCCCGACAAAAUCAAGAGCAUCGAAGUGGUUGAAGGUGAUUGGAAGAGUGCGGGCUCUGUCAAGCUCUGGACUUACUGUAUCGGUAAGGCAAUGCUAACCAUUAUUCCCAUGCCACCCUCAAUCAAACAAAAUACAACACUCAGCAUAUGGGCCUUCUUGUUUUUAAUAAUGAUUGCAUUGGAAGGUAAUAACGAAACAAAAGGAAUGACCCUUCCUAUCAUGUAAAUAGCUCCAUCUACCAUGUAAACGUAUUUAUUUAAGGAUUUCAUAGCAUAGGACACUUAGAAGGCAUGUUUUUACUUGAAUGUUUUAAGCGAAAGUGCUUUUCCUAAAAGUACUUUUUUAGAUAUCUUCAAAAACAAUUACAAAUGAUUUUCAAAUAAAAUAAGUGAUUUUUCAAAUAUUUAAAAAUGAUUUCUAAAUUUUACCAAAUGCCUAUCUUUUUUAAAUGCUUUUUAGGUUAAAAAGACUUCUUCAAAUAAUUGUUAAAUGCAUUGUUAGGAAGUGUCUCAAAUUCCUAAUUAGUAUAAAUUUUUUUUUUUGUAAAAAAUAUUAUAUAAAUAACAUUAGACUUCCUCAUAGAAUAAGGAAGGUUGUUAAAAAUAUUUUUAUAAAUAUUAUUGGUUAUGAGAGAAAAAAGUUAUGAGAUGAAAAUGAGUUUGUAAAAGACUAUAUAAGGUAGAUAGAGAUGUGCGAAAGAACGGGAGGUACUUGGUGGAGCGAGAAGACUCAUGGUAGGGUAGAAAUACAAAGAGUAAGGAAACAUGAGAUGUUUCAUAAACUCACUAAUUGUAUUAGUUAUGUUUUCUGUAAUGUUUUGGUUCUGUCAUCUGUAAUAUUUUUUAUUGUAUAGUAAAAUAAUUUUCUCUCAUCUGUGGAUAUAAGCAUGAUUGGUCGAAUUACGCUAAAACCUUAUAUACUAUUUGUGUCAAUUAUUUUAUCUUUGUAUUCUUGAUUAACGAUGUUUGUAUCAAAGCUUCCAUCGACAUAACAUGCACUUUUAUAAAAUACAAAAUUACAAGUUAUAUUUGAGAGGUGUUUUUGAAAAUAAUUUUGUAAAAUAGUUUUUAAAAAUUAUUUUAUAAUAUUUUGGAGAAUAAAAAUUUGUUUAUGUUUUUAAAUUUUUUUAUAUAUUUUAAAAUAUAUUUUUAAAAGUAACUUUUAUUUAUAAUAUUUUAUUUUAAUCAUUUUCAUAUUUGAAUAAACAUUUCUUAAAUCCCUAAAAGAUAAGUUAAAAUAAUUAAAAACAAUUAUAAGAUAUUCUAUGAGAAUAUCAUGUUUUAUAUUUUUAACAAAAAAAAUAUUUUUUGUUUUAUGGUUACUAAAUGCAAUUUUCUAUUUUUUUAGAGAACAUAGAAAAACAAUUGCCAAACAUGUCAUAAAGUUUAGAAACUUAAAAUUUUUUAAAUUUUUUUUUGUAUUUUAAAAUAAAUUUUAUUCUAAUACUUUAUUUUUAAUUAUUUUUUAUAUAUGUAGAGAUAUAUAAAACAUCCAUUGAAAAAUAAGUAAAAAGAAUUUUAAAAAUAUUCUACAAAAAUACUUUGUUUUAUGUUUUUAAUAACAAAAAAAAUGUUUUUUAUUUUCUAAUUUUCAAAGGAAAAAAAACCAAAAAAACAAAUGAAUGAAGAGAGAGAAGAGAGGAAGAUAUUUAAAGGGAGCAAGAGCACAUUUUCAUACACUGAUUAGCCUGUUUCUUUAAAUUUUGUUUUAUUAUUUGAUGGUAACCAUGGAGCUGGGGAUGAUAAUUACUGGACGGUUACCAACCUAAUCAGCCUUUUUCAUUCGAGUUGAGCUACAUCAUAACUUUAUCUAAAUCAAUUUAUAUACGUGUAACAUGUUUGAAAUAGUGAACAGAAACCAUCAUGGAAACCAGUUUUCUACGGUAGUGUAUUGUUUUAAAAUAUUUUAAAAAAAAUCUUAACAUAAAAGAUAAUUUCAAAAUUGUUUUAUUUUAAUAUCCCCUAUUAAAAAAAAGGUUAAUUGGUUAAAGGGAUCAAAAUAACUCUCAUAUUUGGAAAUAUAACCCACCAGUCAAAAAACAAAAAGUUAACCCGAUUGAGACAAAAAUGCCCUUCUUCUUUUAUCUUUCCAAGACACACAACUUCUCCUCUUCUCCUUCAUUUACAGAACGACUCCUCAUAUUUUUCAAAAAAAUUCUCUCAUCAUCUUUUUCUACUUCAUUAUAUUCAUUUGGUGCAUAAAACGGAAAGGUCAUCUCCUCUUCCGCUUCAUUUACAGAACGAGUCCUCAUCUUUUAUCAUCUUCUUCUAUUUUAUUAUCUUCCUUUGAUGUACAAAACGAAAAUAUCAUAUUUCCUUCAAAAACCCUAGAAAUCCUCUGUUUCAUUCUGAAUCCUUGGAAAAAUUAUUAUUCUAUUUUUUUUCAAGUUAUCUCACAUUAUAUCUUCAAGCAUGAAGGAAAUAAUGAGUUCAUUGAAAAGUAAUAGGAGAAAAAGAUUUAAAAAAAUGGCGAAAAGCAAAAAUGUCAAUUGCGAAUAGAAGAAAAAGUGAAGCAAAGGAAAGCGAAGCCAGUGAGCAAAAAUCCCAACUAUUGUGAAACAGUGAUUGUGAACUUAACUGUGAUUAAGUUCUUUGUUAAUGGAACUCAACUACUAUUAUGUUCAGGCGAAAAUUUGGACGAUUAUUAUUAUUUGAUGGUAACCAUGCCAUGGAGCUGGGGAUGAUAAUUACUGGACGGUUACUAAACUAAUCAGCCUUUUUCAUUCAAGUUAAGCUACAUCAUAACUUUAUCUAAAUCAAUUUAUAUACGUGUAGCAUGUUUGAAAUAGUGAACAGAAACCAUUAUGGAAAUCGGUUUUCUACAGUAGUGAAUUGUUUAAAAAUAUUUUUUUUUAAAUCAUAACAUAAAAGAUAAUUUUAAAAUUAUUUUAUUUUAAUAUCCCCUGUUAAAAAGAAUGAAAAUUAUCGUAUUUUUUUGUAUUUAUUUUAUAAAUGAUUAUAUUUUAAUAAUAAUUUUUUAAAAGAACUUUUAUUUUUUAAAAUCCCAUGGAAACUUGUGUCCACUCUAUUGAAGAAGAGACACGCAAGCCCAAAAAGGUUGGGUGGAAGAAGCACCGCAUUGGAAUUAUUGCAAUUUAUUGAGUUGGCUGCCCCUAGGCAUUGACAGUUAAACAAAAAAAAAAAGAAAAAAAUAAAAGAAAAGAUAGAGAGAGAGCGCACUACCAAUAUUGGGGAGGACUGGAGGAGGCCUUGCCUAAUUCACAACCCCCUUCUAUAUAUAAGGGCAAGUUAAUGUAUUUCCUCUCGCCACUGCCUUCUGUUUGAAUCAUUUGUAAUUAGUUUUAUUAAUCCAGCUAGUGUUAUUAUCAGGAAAAACAUGGCUCUAACUGCAGGUAAGUUGGAGAUUGAAACAGAGAUCAAAGCAGUUGCUGAUGAGUUCUUUAAAAUCUUCAGGAGCCAAGCACACCACCUGCCUAAUAUCUGUUCCGAUAAAAUACACAAAAUCUAGGUACAUGAAGGUGACUGGGAGACUCAGGGAUCCGUCAAGCAUUGGAUGUUCAAAUUGAUGAAUGGUAGUUUUUCAUUCAUACUUUCUUUCGUUCAUAUACAGAGUAUAUAUAGAGGGUAAUCACCAUUCUAAGAAUGAGAAAGGAUGAUACAAGGAAAGAAUAAUAUAAGGAAAUAACAACUAAUAUCCUAAUAUCUCAACUUUCCUAAUAUCUCAAUAUUCCUAAUAUCUUAAUAUUCAUAAUAUCUUAACUUUCCUAAUAUCUAAACACUAAAUGAUAUAAGGAAAUAAUGAUAUAAGGAAAACAUUCCUAAUAUCUCAACACUCCCCCUCAAGUUGGUGCAUAGAUGUCACACAUGUCCAACUUGUCUAAAAUUUUUUGAGAAUACUUGACUUGAGACAGCUUUGGUGAGGAUAUCGACUAACCAAUCUUACUUUCCACCUUGGAUCAACUAAGGCUUCUUGCACAUUGUUAGGAAUAACUACAGUAAAUAAUUGAUUUACAAAUGACUUAUUUGAUUCAGACAAACGAUGGUUAGACACAUAGUUGCUCAUGGGAUAUUUGACUUUGGUAGACAAAUCAGGUUCAUAUGUGGGUUUAGGAAUACCAAGAUUAUGACGAUGUGGUAACCGUUUCAUGAAUGGAUCGGGUUCCAAAUUAAGAACACCCUCAACAGACGACGAUUGGUUUGAUAUUUCAGUGAAGACAUCUUCAGACCCAAAUUGUUGACCUCUCAUAUCCAACUCACCCACUUCCUGGUUCACUAGUUCAGAUUGUCCAGAUUCAUUCUCCUUAGAGAUAUGAUAAUCAUAAUCAAGAGUCUGAAUUUCCUUAUGGUACUCCCCCUGAAGUUCAGACUCAGAUGAAAAUUACAUCGAAUCUUCAUGAAACACCACAUCCAUUGUAAUAUACAUUUGUCGAGUUGGAGGAUGGUAACAUCGAUAUCCCUUUUUGUGCAAUGCAUAUCCAACAAACACACAUUGCAAUGCAUGGGAAGUUAACUUAGUGCGUUGGUGCUUGUGUAGAUGCACAAAUGCCACGCAACCAAAAACACGAGGAGGUAGAUUUGGGACGGUUGGGGCAACUACGACAUUAGUAAGAGCUUGGAGAGGUGUUUGAAAGUUAAUUGAGCUAGAAGGUACCCGAUUGAUCAAGUAUACGGCAGAUGUGAUUGCUUCUCCCCAAUAAGAUAUCGGUGUUUUUGCUGCUAUCAAGGAAGCACGAAAAACCUCUAACAAGUGCCGAUUUUUUCGUUCAACGACUCCAUUUUGCUGGGGUGUAUUGGAACAAGUAGUUUGAUGAAUGAUGCCAUGUCCUUCCAAAUACUUUUGAAGAUCAGAACUUUGAUAUUCUCCACCAUUAUCACUACGCAGAACCCGAACCUUUGCAUUGUAUUGAGUUUCAAUCAUUUUAUGAAAUUUUUGAAACAACAAGUUCACUUCAUCUUUGGUCUUCAUCAAGUAUAACCAUGUCAUUCUGGUACAAUCAUCAAUAAAAGUAACAAACCAACGCGAACCACUCAAAGUUGGGACUUUGGAUGGGCCCCAAACAUCAGAAUGUAUAAUCAUAAAAGGAGACGGACUUUUAUUCAAAAUUAAUGGAAAGGAAGCACGAUGGCUUUUAGCCAAUUCACAAAUAUCACAACGGAAACCAGAAAUAUCACUCUUUGCAAACAAACUAGGAAAUAAUUUUUUUAAAUAUCCAAAGGAAGCAUGUCCCAAACGUCGAUGCCACAACCAAAUUUCAGACUUUUUCUUCUCUUCCUCAGAUCCAUCUGCCAUCAAGGCUUGUCGCAACUUAUUUGAAUCAUUUGACUGCAAGUCCAAAUAAUAGAGUUUUCCCCGCUUAAUACCAAAACCAAUCGUCUGUCUUGUUUGGAUGUCCUUAAAAACACAAAAUUCAGGCCAAAAAAUGACAAUACAAGAUAAGACUGCAGUGAUUUGAGAAACUGACAAAAGAUUGUAAUUUAAGGAUGGAACAACUAAAAUAGAAUCCAAAUUCAAAGUAUCAGUAAGAGUUAAGGAUCCUUCCCCAAUGACUGGGGUUGUGUUACCAUUGGCUGUGGAAACAAAUUUUUGUGAGGAAGGUCUAACGGGUGAGACUUGUCUAGAAUCAAAAGUCAUAUGAUCUGUAGCACCAGAAUCAAUUAUCCAUGCAUUAUUAAUAACAGGUGUAGAAGUAUUUAAAAACUUACCACCAUAAUCUGUAGCGGCUAUCAAUGCAGAGGCUUUCUCAUCAACAUUAGCCUCUGUUUUUAUUUCGGCAAUAGCUGCAGUCGAGGUUUUCUUGGAAUUCUUCUUCUGUUGAUCACGAUUGUGAUCCCACCAGUCUGGAUAUCCCACAAUUUCAAAGCAACGACUCUUGGUAUGACCAGUCUUAUUGUAGUGAGUGCAUUUGAAGGUUGACUUAUCAAUAUUAUGGUCUGUCUUAGGAUGAUUGGUCUUGGAUUGGUCCUGCCAAUUUCGGGUUAAUUGUUGUCGGACUACCAUAGCUGAGGUGUCAGGGUUGUCAGAUUCUGCUUUCAUACUAGCAUGACGUAAUGCCUCUCGUUGAAUCAGUGCAUAGCAUUCUUCCAAAUAGGGAAGAGGAUCUUUGCGUAGAAUCUCUCCUCAAACUUGCUCAAAGUCACCACCCAAUCCAGCAAGAAAGAUGUGCACCCGUUGUCGUUCAAUGGAUUUCCGGUAUGCUGCAAUGUCUUCAGGGUCUUUCAUGACUACCUUCUCCCGAUGAUCCAAUUCGCAAAAAAGUUCAAUUAACUCUCCAUAAUAUUCAGAAAGAGACCUGCCGUUUUAUUUGGCAGUGAAGACUUUUUGAUUCAAAGUGAAAACUUGUAAUUCAUCACUUUCAUCAUAGAAGGCCUUUGAUAAUGCACUCAAAAUUUCUUGAGCGGUGGGUAAGCGUAAGUAAUGCUUCAUAAUUUCUGGACUCAUGGACAUUAACAACCAUCUCUUCACCUUUUGAUUCUCAGCAUACCAUUUUUCAUAUCCAUCUUCUGACUCUUUUGGUAGAUUUGUCUUACCUCGGAUGUAGGAAAGUUUUUCCCGUUCGGCAAUAUGCAUCUCCACGAGUUGUGACCAAACGUCAUAGUUUGAUUUAGUCAAAAUAAUUCCUGAAUUGAAAGUACCUUCAGAUUGAAAAACAAUAAUACUUUUUUCACUCAUUUUUUUUUUCUCUCGCAAAGAAGGGGCAAUUGUUGGCCUUACAACAAAAUAUCCAGGAUUUCAGGAACCUAGCUCUGAUACCAUGUUCAAAUUGAUGAAUGAUAGUUUUUCAUUCAUACUUUCUUUCGUUCAUGUACAGAGUAUAUAUAGAGGGUAAUCACCAUUCUAAGAAUGGGAAAGGAUGAUACAAGGAAAGAAUAAUAUAAGGAAAUAACAACUAAUAUCCUAAUAUCUCAACUUUCCUAAUAUCUCAAUAUUCCUAAUAUUUCAAUAUUCAUAAUAUCUUAACUUUCCUAAUAUCUAAACACUAAAUGAUAUAAGGAAAUAAUGAUAUAAGGAAAGCAUUCCUAAUAUCUCAACAUUGGAGUUACACCAUUGGUAUAACAUGCAACUCAAACUCAGAACUCCAAAACACUAGCUGGCAUUAUAUUCUGCUAAAAUAUUUUUUGAUGUUUAUCUUUCAUUUCAUUGUUGUUUUCUUCACCUCUCAAAUUUUCUUUUAUAAUAAAUGCAUGCCUCUUUGUACUUUUUUUUUUCUUGCAAAGAAGUGACUAUAAUCGAUGGUUCUUAGUAAUGUAUAUGGCAUCUAAUAAUAGCUUUAACAUAUUCCAAUUAUGUUUAACCUCACAUUUUGGUUUGAACUAGGAGGGAAUUCUAAGAGUAUUAAGGAGACUGUGGAAUCAAAAGAUGAAGAGAACAGGUCCAUCACGUUCAAGGUUUUGGAUGGGGAGCUGUUGAACGACUACAAGAGCUACAAGUUCACCACACAAGCGAUACCAAAGGGGGAGGGCUGCUUGGUGAAAUGGACCGCUGAAUAUGAGAAGGCAAGUGAGGAUGGAUCAGAUCCCCGUGGCUACCUGGAGCUUGCAGUUAAUAUCACCAAAGAUAUCGAAAGUCACCUUCUCAAUGCAUAACGCCAAGACCAUAUGUACCGUUUGCUAGUAUUUCUCUCUUAAAUAAAGUUUGGAACUUGGAUGUGCAUCUAUGUACUAUCUCGACCUUUUAAUAAACGCAAAUUCCAGCUGUACUGGAGUUGGUGACUAAUGCCGAGAAGACAAACUAGGUUCCCGAUCCUCAGUUAUUUAUGCAAUAAUAUUAAUUAGUGCAUGCGUGUGAUUAGUUGUAUGGUUCUGGGAGUUGCUUUGUGAUUGUUAAUCGGUGUCUUUUGUAGUGGGAUUAUUACAUGCAUGUAAUGUGAAGAACAUAUGAUCCAUGAGGAAAUAAAUUAAAUGAAAAUUACCCAGGCUCCAUCAUGAGGAGCCUUUGAGCAUGCCCACAAGCCUACGUUCCUGCAUUCAAGUCACAUAUGUGAAAAUUCCACUUUGCACAUAAUCUAAAUAAUUUAUCUAAAAAUCUAAGAAGUAAUCUCUCUCUCCAUCUAUGUCUCUCUCUCCCCAUCUAUAUGUACCUCAAAUGAAGAGGUAAGGUAAUGUAAAAUCCCCACCUCAAAUUUAGGGAUAUUUAUAUAAUUUGAAAAUUUUAAAAAGACCUACAUUAAUUUUGUAAAUAUUUAUGUAAUCAACUUUCUCAGAUUAAUUAAAUAAAAAAUUGACCAAGAUGAUUAAAAAUGCAAAUUUGAUGAGGACAUGAAGUAAAAAGUGGUAGGGUUUAAGGACAAUGGCUUCUACUGAAUUUUGGUGAGGUGGUGAUACAAUGAGGAAAAUAGAUUAAUAAAGUUUAUCCAUGGAAAUAGAAAAUAGAAAACAAAAAAUAUAAAAUAAUAAUAAUAUUCAUGUUAAUCAUUUAAUAAAUAUAAUAAAUGCAAUUAUAUAUGCUAAGUGAAAAUAACAAUAUUAUUAUUAUUAUUAUUAAUGCUUAUGAUAGGUGAGAAUUAAGUCUUUUAGAAAUUUGAGUAAUUUUUUCAAGGUAAAGCUUAUAGUUCAUUAAGUCAUUUUAUAAUUCCUUAUAUAUUUUUUUAUUGAUUUUUAAAGUAUCAAAAUGUGUAAAUUCUUUAAAGUGGAUCAAAUAGUUUUUUUUUUUUUUGAAAUAUUUUGUGAUUUGUUUGGUUGUUAUGAAAGUGAAUUUUAUUACUUAAUUUAUUAUAAUGAUUUUAAAACUCUAGUUAUUAGUGGUUUUAGUCAACAAGGAUAAGUUAUUAACCUUCUUUACCUUUGGUCAGUGAAGGGAUGUAGUAUAACACUAGCCAAUAAAUGUGUCAUUGGUCUUGUAUACUAUUGAUUAGAAAUUGUUAUGUCCACCAAUGAGAGUAUUAAAGUGAGGUGAGCCACCUAAUGUAAGUCCCAAUAUUUGGGCACAACGUUAUUAUUAAUUAAUAAACAAAAAUAAAUAGUUUAUUUAUAAAAAUUUUUUUCUAAAUAUAAAUUGAGUAUGCAAAUUGUAUUUUUUAAUUCUAUCUUUAAAUUUAAAGUGUUUAAUCUUUUGAAGAAAGUGAAUUUAAUUUUUUGAAGAAAGUGAAUUUAAUUUUUGAAUUAAAUAAAUUAACCUGAUAAUUGAUUUUUAUAAAAAUUUGAUAUCUCUUAGAAUUUAAUUCUCUACAAUAUAUACCUGAUUUUUUUCAUUGAACUAUUUUUUCUUAUUGAACCAUUGAAGUCACCCUUCUUUAUUAUUCCCCUUUUCAUAUACAAAUGGUAUAAGUGAGAAGGGAUUACGGGAGGAGAAAUGUUUCUAUUAUAAACAACUUUGGAAUUGAAUUAUGUUGGAUUGUGAAACGUGAAUCGGUUUAAUUUAUUGUAUUUUGCAAGGAAUGCUAGAGGUCGAGUGUCUAAUUGAGCUUGCGGGGAUCAAGAGUCUUGAUCGGUUCGUUGGGACUUGGGAUUGAGUUGUCCAAUCAGCUCAUGGGGUUAAAGGAAUAUCCUUCGAUUUUUUUUAAUACGAUGAAUAACGAGUUUGUCCUAAUUGUAUAUUUAAUCUUAUUAUAAUUUAAAGUUUCUUUUUAGAGAGUGUGUGACUGCAAUCGAAAGGAUAAUGAGUGUUUAGUACUCGUCUUAUUUUUUUCUGAACCAAAUUAAAAAUCUAUUGUUUUUCUUUAUUUUCUAAUCGUGUGUGCAUGAUUUGAUCAACAAAUUAUUUAUAGGAUUGUUUACUUAAAUUUGAUUGUAAUUUAUUUAAGUUUUUAGGAGAAUCAUUAAAUUUAUUAUUACAAUAUUUUAUUAGUUUUGAAUUUGUUAUUUAAAGUGAUUCAUUUACUUGGUUCAAAGGUUUGACAUAUAAAGUCACCGUGGUUCCCUUGGUGUCGCGGGUGAUUUUGUAAGUGCCUUCGGACUACAGAAUAUUAAUUAACCUACCAAUCUUCAAUGUAAUCUAAGAUGCAGAAAGAUCUUGUGGGUUAAGGUCAAGUGGGCGCUUCAAUAUUUAUCAUGUCUUCAAAAAAAACUUCAGGGCCCCAGUCCAGAUUCUCAGAUAUGGAUUCUAACAGUUGCUACCAAUCACGGGGGUGAAAACAAAUCAGUGUCGCAGAAAUCGCUAUCAAUGUGGUACUGGAAAAAAAAGAAGAGAUUCCUCCACUUGUUCUUGAAAUUUAUCUGAACGCAUGCAAUAAAUCAAUGCUCCAUAAUCUCCUGCACAUGCAAAUUAAAAUCAAAAUCAGGCCAUUGGCCUCUCACAUUACCAUUCUUGGCCGUUUUCUGGUGUGCAUAUAAAGAGUAAUAACCACACCAUCCAUCUUUUACUCUGGUUGUCACACUCCCACCACUCUCCCACCACUUCUUCCCUAAUCUCCUAACAUCAAAUACAAAAAUGCCACAUCCUUAUUAUUGAAAAUUAAAUUCCCAUACAUAUAAAUCUUAUGCCAGAUUUUUUGUUGAUUGGAUGAUAUUCGGCCAUAUAAAAUUCAGUAUCAAUCACAAACAUUCGUUAUCCAAUCUUGAUACCGAAGAGGAUAGAGUAUCAAUCCAUCUAUGGGCCCGGUGCACCAGGCCUUCCGCCUAUAAAAGUUUUCUAGGGUGGUGAACUAUAUUCUUCAAACACAGCCUUGGCUAGUUACUAUCUGGUUUCCAAAGAAAGAAGAAAUGGCUCAGAUAGAUAAGAUGGAAACCCAUGUAGAGAAAAAGUCCCCUGCCAAUGAGUUCUACGAGGUCUUCAGCAGCAAAGCUCAUCUCAUUCCCAAGGCCUGCCCUGACAAAAUCAAGAGCAUCGAAGUGGUUGAAGGUGAUUGGAAGAGUGUGGGCUCUGUCAAGCUCUGGACUUACUGUAUCGGUAAGGCAACGCUAACCAUUAUUCCCAUGCCACCCUCAAUCAAACAAAAUAAUACACUCAGCACAUGGACCUUCUUGUUUUUAAUUAUUAUUGCUGUGGAAGAUAAUAAUAACAAAACAAAGGGAAUGACCCCUUCUGAUACGGGUGCCUCCUCAUAUUAGUUUUUUGAAGUUCUCCAUGCAAACUAAAGUAGAAAUCAAUCUUUAGGCACAUCCCUUAUCUGAGCUUCACAUGACCUUAGUUUCAUUUUAAAUUAACCUGCAGGAGGAAAUACUUCGUCUAGCAAGGAGAGGGUGGAAAAGAAAGACGAUAAGAACAAGUCCAUCACUUUCAAGGCUCUGGAUGGAGAGGUCAUGAAGGAUUUCAAGAGCGUCAUCUCCAUCCUUGAAGUGAGUGCAAAGGAUGACGGCAGCCUGGUGAAAUGGACUUUGGAAUAUGAGAAGUCAAAUGAGAAACUCCUACCUCCAGAUGCUUACCUCAGCCUUGUAAUUAGUAUGAGUAAAGAAAUCGACGCUUACCUUCUCAAGGCAUAAGCCGCAUAACAAGCCCUAUAUCCUUGACUUGAUAUGAAAGCAUCCUAGCCUGGGUCCUCCUGGGAAUAACGGAGUUGCUAUGCGUACCUCCAUAUUAUAUUAUCGACACCUACUGGCUACUGCUGUACUCCAUGUAACUUCUUGCUGUACUUAAUUAUAUGAGCUUCCUGAAUUAAUGUUGGAAUGAUAAAUCAAGCUUUAUGGUAGAAUCAAAUGAUUGCUCUAUCAUGGAAUAAAUUUCGCAAUAAAAAUAAAUAUUAGAGGAGAGUUAUGAAACGAAGCUUUUUUUUCUGCAUCAAAUUAACUUUUCAUACACUGUUUUUAAAACAAAUCAACAUACAAUGAUCUUAUGUUGUACCUUUUCCGUUGCAGAUUGCUUUUAAAAAUGUUCUCCCCACAGGCACUUCUAUGGUAUCUUUUCAAAAUUGCUAUUAUAUAUGUUUAAUUAACCAUUCAUUUUGGUCUAAAGCUAGGACGAACUUCUAAGACUGCCACGGAGACUCUGGAAAUCAACAGAUGAAGAAAAAAAUAAAAUAUAUCCAUGACUUCCAAGGUUUUGGAAGCAGAGGUCAUGAAUCAUUUCAAGAAGAUUCAAGUCAUCCAUGCAAGUAACAGCAAAGGAUAAGCGCAGCUAGGUGAAAUGGAGACUGGAUAUUGAGGGUCACUAUCUCAGAUUCUCAAGGCAUAGCAUUAAAAACAUAUCCUUUAAUUGGUAGUAUAAUCUCAAACUUGUAUGUAAAGACCAGACCGUGGAAGUGCAUAUAUGCAUUUUAUUCUUCAAUAAGCGCAGGCUUAGGGGGUAGUUCAAUAACCUCUGGGCUUAGUCAAUCCCGAGAAGAUAUUAAUAAAUUUCCCUGGAUUAUUCCUCUCAUGAAUAUCAGUGCCUGUAAUUUGGUUGUGUGCUAACGGGAGUUGCCUCUUGCGAUCGGUUGGGUUCUUUAAUAAACGCAUUAUUAGGUAUGAAUGAUCAGGAAAUUGAUAAGUAAAAAACAAUUUAAUUAUUUCACUUAAGUCAUAAACCAUUAUGAGGAGCCUUGGAAUAUAUGCAUGAGUCUAGAUUCUCGCAGCCACUAAUCACGUAGUCAAAAUUGGCCAGUCGCAAACAUUCCAAUCAUUCUUUAUGAUAAGAAAGAAGAGUUCACUCUUCUUUUUCUCGAGUUUUUUAUUUGGAGAGAGCAAUUUAUCAGCCUCACAUUUUGAGACCUUUCUUGGCACAUCACUUUCAGAAUCUGAUUUCCUAGCUCCACUAUAGAAGUAAAGCCAGUUGGGUAUCACAUUCUUGUUUUAUGUCUCCUUGAGUGGGUCGGGUGUAUAUAAAAAUUUGCCAGUUGAAGAUUUUCUUUGUUAUGCUAGUCUUUCUUUUUCUAACCUCCUGAUAUCAAAUGGGAAAAUGCCAUAUCGUUACUGGACAAUUGACCCAUAAUGGAGAGACUUUUGUUGGUUGGACUUGGGCUUUUAUAUAACUCAGCAACUAUCAUAAUUAUAGGAGAAAUUUGAAGUAACCAUAUUGAUUUGGGUCUACCAAGAAGCAAGGUGAAUCGUAACAUAUCAUGCAUAUAACUUGAUUCAAUUAUUUUAUAUUCUACUUGUUUCUUAUGUAUUUUUACUUUUAUCAAAUAGUUUAGAUAUCAUUACCAAAUAUUCUCCUGACAUUUUCCUAUUAUUUCUGUAAGAUGCUAUAAUCUACACCCAAAGUAGUGGACCACUUACACUUUAUUAUGUACUAACCACGAUCAUAACUUACAUUCUCCACCUUGGCCUCUCUCUUAUCCCAAAAAGUAAAGACUCAGGGUUCGUAUCCCUUCCCUUCUGUCUAUAUAGGUCUAAGAGUAGUCAAGUGUUUCCUUCAAUAGCCUUCAUAUUCUUGGCAGUAACUAGGUACUUGGUUUUCAAACACAACAAAAAUAAUGGCUCAAAUUGCCAAGAUGGAGGUCCAAGCAGAGAUCAAGUCCCCUGCCAGUAAGUUCCACGAGGUCUGUAGCCGUAAAGUUUAUCUCGUACCCAAGGCUUGCCCUGAAAAAAUUAAGAGCAUUGAAGUAGUUGAAGGUGACUGGAAGACUGUGGGCUCUGUCCAGCUUUGGACUUAUUUCAUCGGUAAGGCAAAAUCCAUCAUUCCACGCCUCCCCCAACAAACACAAGGACACAGAGCUCAAUUGUACUUCUAUUAUUAUUACUAUUAUUAGGAAAUAAUGAUAAUCUAAUGGUAAUGUGACUCUACUCAUGCCGAUAUAAACCCCGUAAUCUUGAUCUCAAAUUGCUAUCAAACAAAAGAAUAUCAAAUAAAGGUAAAGUGUGUCCCCUAUAUUUAUACGUAGAUAGAUGAGUUCUAAGCUUAGCACCAUGUUUUCCAUUUGAAAAACAGGAGGAAAUACCGAAGAGGCUAAGUUGGUGGUUGAAAGGGUAGACGAGGAAAACAAAACGGUCACUAUGAACGUUGUGGAAGGAGAUAUCGUGAAGUAUUUCAAGAUCUUCAAGUGCACUAUUCAAGUAACCGUAAAGGAUAAGGGCAGCUUGGUGACAUGGAGUGUGGAAUAUGAGAAGCUAAAUGAGAGUGGCCCCGCUCCAGAUGCUUACCUCAACUUUGCAAUGGGUAUCGUUGAGAACGUGGAUGCUUACCUUCUCAAGGCAUGACAACAAAGGCGUAUUCAUGAGUCAUGACAUGGUAUGAAGCACUGGUACAACAAAAACUUGGGAAUAAUGUACCACACGCCAUGUCCUCAACUUCUACUGGUCAUCGCUAUAAUAUUAAAAGUAACUUCUUAUUCUACUUAUAUACCUUCCAAGUACUUUGUGUCUUGAAUGUUAUUAUCUAAAAAUAAAAAUAGAAAAUCUCGAAGAAGAGCAUUGUCCUUCGACACUUUUCUUUCUUUCUUUCUUUCUUCACUGCUGAGAAUCUCAACGUACGACUACCAUUUGCAUUAUGGACCCAUGACUGCCAUCCUUUGACCACAUUUGUUGCCCUCCCACCAAACUCCUACGCGUCAAAAUUUCUAUUGUUGCUUGAACAAUAUUUUCAUUUGAAAAACAAGGAAACGAUUUAAAAAUUCUUAUCUCAUGUCUAGUUACCCCGGUCGACCAUAUAAAGUACCACUUGAUCACUCUAGUCUCCUUUGCUAGCCCAUGGGCAAUGCAAUACCCAGCAGGUCCCAGUAACCAACUCUAUGUUCCUCCGAAAAUGAAACAAAUCAGGUCGUUUCAGGGAUGCAUUUGAUCUCACCCUUUUGUUUUGUGUCCGUUAUUUUUUAUUUUAAUAUCACAUGUUUAUAUUUUAAUCUCAUUCUUUACACCUGGAUUUGCUGAUAAAGGCAACUUUCUUUUUGAGCUUUGAUCGAGAUUUUUAUGAAAUUCCUGUGAUAUUACCGUCCUGCUCCUGCUUAAGAAUGUAACUUUGAUUUUGCUUUUAGUGAAGUCUUUAGGUGUUGUUUAUUCCCCAAAAUCUUUUGAUGUUUCUGAAAUUGCUUCAGUGGACUUUGAGAGGUUGCAGGUACCUCUUUUCUCCUGAAAUAGAAUUUGUUUCAGUGGAGCAAGACAACAGGAUGAGCAAAAAAUAGAACCAAUUUUAUUGAUAUAUAUCAGGUUUUUGAGACGUUGAAGAACAUUUCUAACAACUUUUUUUGAUGGGUGACCAAGCCUAUUAUGCCACAAUGCAUAUACAGAACAAGAAGAAAAAGAAGCAGGUGUUGGAACUACAGAAGAAUUGUAUACUAAGGGUUGUGUUGACAUACUGACAUAUGACUUAUGAGGAGUUGAGGGAGAGAAGCUGCCACUGAUUAUUAAUGAGAUCAAUUUGAGACUGAUAAAAAACAUAAAGACCAUCUUUAGGCCUACCCCUCCAGUAGCACUGUUUUGAAGUGAAAUUCAAAGAAGACAUUCUUUUGGGCAAAUUUUGACACACUGAGAAGGUUCUAAUUAGCAAUUUCAGGGACAUGAAGUGUUUUAAAGAGUAAUUUCAGCAAACAUAACUUCAACUUUACAUCCACCUGACCUCAUUAUUUCAGUUUGACAAGAGGGCUUAAUUAUAUCAGUAUGACUGCUAAGAAGACUUUGGAAUAUUAUAAAACGAGUCCAUCAAGUUCAAGGUUUGGAAUGGAAAGAUCAUGAGUAAUUUCACUACUUUUAAGCUGAAUAUGAGAAGGUAAAUGAGGAUGUCCCAGACCCAAUGCUUACUAAAUCAUUGAAGGUCACCUUCUUGAGGCAUAAUUCCAAUUCUUUUCAUCGAUGCUUCUUAGAUGUUAUAAAACAAUACUAUGAAAAUGAAAACGUAAUGUAAUUUUGUCAAAGCCUUUUCCUUAUUGAAGACUCUGGACUGAUUGCGUGGGUGCGCAACACCCACCAUAAUUCCCACACCAACGCCCAACUAACCAAAUCACGUAAGGCCUCACAUGGCCUCAUUAUUAUUUCUGUUGAAAGAUAAUACUAUAUUACAUACGAGAUGGCCAUUCUACCAGCCACCUGUAAAGUUGGUGAUAAAUUGAUACUAAAAAUAGAAGGAAAAUUAAGUUGAAAUUAAGGGUGUCUAUUUAAAUUUAAUUAUUCCCUAGAUAUGAUCUUUUGAUAUGAUUUGAACCCGUUAAUCAUUUAUUUUUAUAUAAAGAGACAAAAAUUCAAUUGUAUAAUCCAGGAUGAGUCACUUGGCCGGGUUUUCGACGACAGCUAAAUCAACCUUCAUUUAGUAAUGAUUGCCCAUGAAAUAAAUUAUCAUGUCUCCUCACAAUAUAAUAAACUAAUAAAAAAUAAAAGAAGAUCACAAAGAAAAGCAUCUUAGUGGAAGUUUUUUUUUUUUUUUUUUUCUUUCAUUUGUUGGUGGUGACACUCCGUGAAAUGUGAUCAACUAGCAUUUGAAUUACACAACCUAAUGCAAAUGAUAAAAAGCAUAAAUUACUUUAGAGUGUUUAGAAUUUGGAAGACUCUAGCUAGGAUGAUAUGGCAUGGGUCUGUGGCCGACAACCACCAAACCCAACGCUAAAUAAUUAUUAUUGAACCAUCAUCAUCAGUAUAAGCAACAUCAAACCUCUCCAUGUUAAACUGUACAUUUUAUUUCAUCCGGAUCUAAUAUCUAAUUAUAAAUGAUUAUGUAUGAGAUUGCAAUCCUUUGCUUAACUCUUUGAAAAUCUAAUUAUAAAUAUUUGGAAUAUCGAUUUCAUCUCUACCAUUAAAAGCAUAUGAAAAAAAUAUCUUGGUCUUUGAAUAAAAGUAAGUAUAAAUAAUUAGACUAGGGUACCAAAUGAUGAAAUCAAAUAUAAAUGAAUUAUAACCAUCAAAUUUCUAUUUUUCAUUAUUAAAUCAUUGGGCGCUCCAAUUUUUACAUGAUGUAUAACUAUUGACGGAAAUGUUAAUUAGGGAUGGCAACGGGGCUGGUUUUUUCGGGUACCCGCCCCCCCCUCCCCCCCCCCCGCCCCUAAUGGGACGGGGUUGAAAUUUAAUAAACGGGUUUUUAACGGGUAUGAGAUUUUUUUUUAAAACCAGGGGCGGGUUCGGGACGGGUUCGGGACGAGUUCGGGUAUUGCCCCAUUCCGCCCCGCCCCGCCCUGUUUACAUAUAAAAUCAAUUUUAAAAUUAAUUUUAUUUUACUAUUUUUAAUAUAUAGAUAAUAAUAAAAAAAUUAAUAAAAUAAGUUAUAAAAAAUAUAAUAAUUUUAUUAUUUAUAAAUAUAUUUAUUUUAAUGUAAUUAAAAAUUUUAAAAGUAAAUUUUUUUUUUUAUAAAAAAAAGGAGGCUAAACGGGGCGGGACGGGGAUGAGAAUUAUUUUUAAUAAACGGGGCGGGGUUGGGAUGGGGGCAACCCGUCCCGAACCCGCCCUGUUGUCAUUCCUAAUGUUAAUAUAAGGAUAUAAUAAUGGGUAAAAUUAGUUGAAAGUGUUUUUUUUAUGACAUAAAAUAAUUUUUCAAAUUUUAAUUUCUAUUUACUUUGUCUUCCCUUGUCAUGUAUCUUUGUAAUUUUCCGAUUUGUUUAUCAAAACAAUAAAUGAUGUCAUGUUAUGAUUUCUCUUUUUGUCUUCCUUUUUAAUUGACGUGUUUAUUGGAAUAAUAUAUUAUGUUAGACAAAAUAACACAUACCUCCACUGCCCAAAUCCCCUCCGUGACAAUGAACCCCAUCUUUAAGCAUUAUUAUAAAAUUAAGCAUAAAGUUAUUACAAGUUUCUUCCAUUUCACAUGCCUUUCCCAUAGAUUGAGUGGUGGAGAUGAUCAUUCUUGAACGAUUUAUAAUUUUAAUGAAUUCUGUCUAUUCUCAUAUCUUUUAAGAGGGAAUUCAAAUCAACUUAUCUUAUUUUCUCAACGCUACUUAACUUCCACGGCUUCAAAUUUACAUGAUCAUAUCAUUAUCAAUAACUUCGGCAUAACUAUUCAAAUUUUAAUAAGAACUUCAAAUCAUUGUUACCUUUAUUGCCUUAAAAAUCUUUUUCUUUGUCAAUGAUCCCUGCACGAUUAUUAAAUAAUAGGAUUGUUAUUGUCAUAUUAACUAAUUUUGAUAAUAUAGUCAUCGUCACGGCUGAGUGCCGUUUUCUUGGGAGAUUUUUCAUAAAUUUAAAUCAAUACCAGUUAUAGGAAAUGCGUCACAAAUUAGGAAGAUAUCGAGCUGGAAGCAGAUGAUAUAUAAUUCAUUAUUUUCUUCCUUAUUGAAGCUUGACAAACCAAUCCAAAUGCAUUAACGUGAGAAGCAAGGUUUUAUGCUCAUUUUCAAUGAACCUUGUCAACAUGCACGUCAAAAACAAUGAUUUAUUAACUACGUACAUGUAGAACUGCAUGGGAAAAAAAAAAUACAAUUAAGGCAUUGGGAUAUGAAUAAAACGCUUAACUUAAAAUUCAAAAUUCUCAAAACUACGUUUUUCACACCAAAAUGUUUCAUCCAGCCAACCUAAGACCGAGUGAAUCCUCCCUCUAAAGCACAUUGCCCAAGACUACAGGCAACGUAGUAAUUACCUAAGCAAAUACGUCAGAAUCAUACCAAUUUUUACCAAAGUGGGUAUCGGGAAGGAGCUUUGCCUAAUUCAUCCUUCUAUAUAUAAGGACAAGGUUAUCUACUUCUUCUCAUCACUGCCUUCUGUUUGAAUAUUUUGUAGUUAGUUUUAUCAAUCCAGCUAGUGUUAUUAUCAGAAAAACAUGGCUCUAACUGGUAAGUUGGAGACUGAAACAGAGAUCAAAGCACCUGCUGAUAAGUUCUUUAAAAUCUUCAGGAGCCAAGCACACCACCUUCCUAAUAUCUGCUCCGAUAAAAUACACAAAAUCGAGGUACAUGAAGGUGACUGGGAGACUCAGGGCUCCGUCAAGCAUUGGAGUUUGACCGUUGGUAAGGCAUCUCAAACUAAGAACCACAAAACACUAGCGUUAUAUUCUGUUAAUUAAAAUAAGUUAUUAUGUUUUUGUUUCAUUUCAUUGUUGUUUUCUUCACCUUUCAAUUAUUCUAUUAGAAUAAAAGCAUGCCUCUUUGUACAAUUUUUUUCUUGCAAAGAAGUGAUCGAGUCUGGGCCGCUAGUGACUAUGAUGGUUCUUAGGAAUGUACAUGACAUCUAAUAAUAGCUUCAACAUAUUCCAAUUAUGUUUAACCUCACAUUUUGGUUUCAACUAGGAGAGAAUUCUGAGAGUAUUAAAGAGACUGUGGAUCAAAUAGAUGAAGAAAACAGGUCCAUCACAUUCAAGGUUUUGGAUGGGGAGGUGCUGAAAGACUACAAGAGCUACAAGUUCACCACACAAGCGAUACCAAAGGGGGAGGGCUGCUUGGUGAUAUGGACCAUCGAAUAUGAGAAGGCAAGUGAGGGUGGCCCAGAUCCCCAUAACUGCCUAGAGUUUUCAGUUAAUAUCACCAAAGAUAUCGAAAGUCACCUUCUCAAUGCGUAACACCAAGGCCAUAUCCACCCUUUGCUAGUAUCUUGCUCGUAAAUAAAGUUUGGAACUUGGAAGUCCAUCUAUCUCUAUCUUUCAAUAAACGCAAAUUCCAGGUGUGGACUUGGUGAUUAGUGCCGAGAAGAUAAACUAGGUUUGCCUUGGUUAUUUGUGCAAUAAUAUUAGUGCAUGAGUGGGAUUGAUUGUAUGCUAUCUUGUCCGGGAGUUGCUUUGUGUCUUUUGUAAUGGGAUUACUACAUGUAAUGUGAAGACUAUAUGAUGCAUGGGGAAAUAAAUUAAGCGAAAACUUCCAUGGGCUCCAUCAUGAGGAGCCUUUGAGUAAGUCCACAAGCCUACAUUCUUGCAUUCUAGUCACAUGUGUCAAAAUAAGUCUCUACAAAUUAAAGUCUUAUUGUCAAAAUCCCACUUUACACAUAAUCUAAAUAAUUUAGCUAAAAUCUAAUAAGUAUGUCUCUCUUUAUAUGUACUUACCAUCCCAACUUUUAAAUUUAGGGAUAUCUAUGUAAUUUAGAUUUUAAAAAGAAAAUUUUAGGGAUAUUUACAAAGAUAAAUGAAAUAUUUUUGGUUCCGAUAACCAUUAUUUUUAUCUCAUUUUGGUUUCUUUGCGUUAUAAAAAAAAUGGUUUGUAGAGAUAAACUAGAGAAAAAAAAAAAUUAUACAAUGGUUUGUAGAGAAAUUUGAUUCGAAAAGUUAGAAAAGAUGAUUUGUUUUUUGCAUUUGCUUCAUUCUAAAAUUCAAUCACUAUCUUUUAUCUCAUUUUGGUUUCCCCACAUUAUCAAAAAAUGAAGGAUAAAAAUAAACUGGGGAAAAAAUUAUACAAAGGUCUCCGAGAACUUUGAUUUGAAGAGUUAGAAAAGAAGAAUUUUUUUGCAUUUGUUUCAUUUUAAAAUUCAAGGUUUUUGGAUUUCUAUUAUAUAUUAAUUAUGAGGAUAGUAGAAUAAUAAUAAUAAUAAACAAAAACUAGUUAUUAGUGACCUUGAUCAAUAGAGUAUAAGUUGUUGACCUUUAUUAUCUUUGUUAGAAGUAGUUAACGAUGCAAUGUAACCUUAGCCAAUAAAGAUGUUUUGAUAUACAUUGAUUGAAAAAUGUCCUUUUAAAACUAGUUAUUAUUGACCUUGGUCAACACAGAGGAUAAGUUGUUGACCUUUAUUACCCUUGUUAGGAGUAGUGAACGGUGUAGUAUAACCUUAGUCAUUAAGGAUGUUAUUAGCCUUUUGCUAUAUCAUUGAUUGAAAGUUGUCCUAUCCACCAAUAAGGAGAAUGAAGGCUAGCCACCAAGUACUAGUUUUAGUAUUUUGGCACAAUAUUAUUACUAGUGAGUCAAAGUGAAAUAUUUGUUGAUAAAACUUUUUUAAUAUGAAUUGAGUAAGCAAAAUAUAUUAUUUAAUUCUAUCAUUAAAUUGGAAGUGUUUAAAUUUUCAAAAACAAUUAUUUUAAUUAUUGAAUCAAAUGAGCUUACAUGUUAAUAGACUUUUAUAAAGAUGUGGUAUCUUCCGAAAUUUUAUUAUAUAUAAUAAUUGAUCUUCCUUAUACUAACUUUUAUCAUUGAGCCAUCGAGUUCACUUUUCUCUGUUAUUCUCCAUUUCAAUUAUAAAUGAUAUAAAGAGGGAUGAGGUAAGAAAAAUAUUUCUAUUAGAGACAGCUUUGGAAUUGAUUUAUUUUAGGAUUAUUUACUAGACUGAAUUCAUUUAUAAUUUCUAAAUUUCUUUUUGAAGAAUUUGAGAAAAUUAAAUUAAUUAUUGAGAGAUUUUAAUUAGUUUUAAAUUUGUUACUUAAAGUCGUUCACAUGUUGGAUUCUAAUAUUUGAUACGUGAAACUAGCAUGAAGGGCUUGACCUCCGGGUUUGGGGCGUCGCAGCUGACUUUAGAUUACAGAAUUAUUAAUCAACCUACCAAUCUUCAAAGCAAUCUAGGAUGCAAUAUGGUUUUGUGAUUUAAGAUCAAGUGGACGCUUCAUUUAUUAUGUCUUCAAAAAAACAUUUUGGGCCUCAAUUCGAGAUUAUCAGAUAUGGAUUCUAACAGUUGCUUCCAAUCAAAUCAGUGUCACAGAAAUCGCUACCAUUGUGGUACCUGAAAAAAAAAAAAAGAGACUCCUUCCCUUAAUAUUGAAAUUUAUCUGAAGCUAUGCAGUAAAUAAAUGCCCCAUUUUGUGCGUCAUAAUGGGGGAUCACAUUCAGAAUCUUCUGCACAUGCAAAUUAAAAUCAAAAUCAAGCCAUUGGCCUAUCACAUUACCAUUUUUGGCCCUUUUGUUUUGUUGUUUUUUUCUUUUUUUGGCGUGUAUAUAAAAAGCAACCACAUUAUCCAACUUUUAUUGAAAACACCAUAUUAUCAGAUACAAAAACGCCACAUCAUUAUUAUUGAAAAUUAAAUUCCCAUAUAUAGAAAGCCACAUAAAAUUCAGUGCCAAUCACAAACAUUCGUUGAUAUUCACUAGGAUAGAGAUAGAGUGCCCAUAUAUGGACAGUGCACCAUACCCGCCGUGAAGUGAUUGGAAGAGUGUGGACUAUGUCAAGCUCCGGACUUAUUUGUAUAGGUAAGGCAACGCUAACCAUUAUUAUUCCCAUGCCACCCUCAAUCAAGCACAGUCAUACACUCGGCACAUGGCACUUCUUGUUUUUAAUUAUUAUCAUAGUGAACAAUGUUUUCAUAAUCGGAUCGAUCAUCGAACCGAAAAAGUUAUCGAUUUACAGUCCAUUAGUCGAACCGACGGUCGAACCAAUAACAUCAUAAAUAUGUAAUUUAUAUAUUAUUAAAAUUAAAAAUAAUUAUACAAAUUUUAAAAUAUAUAUGAAUAAAUUAAAAAUCAAUAAUAUUAUUUUGUAUCUUUAAUAUUAUCAAAUUAAAUCAUAUUAAUAUUUUAAAUUUUAUUGAAUGAAAUAUAUAUAAUAUUUAAAUAUGAAUAUAUUAAAAAUGAAAAUUUAAUUAAACUAAUUUUAUAAUUUUUAAAAAUAUUAUAUUAUUUUUAUUUAAUAUUAUAAAAAAAUUUAAAAUCCAAUAUAUAUUAUUUUGUUUGGCAUAUUAAAUAAUAAAAGAUGUAUAGCCGAGUGGUCCUAGGUUGGUUAUAGACCUUGAGGUCCAAGUUCAAAUCCUUUGGUGGAUUUGUUAAUUUUUUUUUUCAUUGAUUAGGUUAGUUAGCAAUCCCACACUAAGAGGAAUAAGGAUGCUUAUAAAAGCUAGCCUCAUUAUGGGCAAAGGCAUCACCUCAUCUGGUGGGCUUAAGACUCAGCCCAUAAAAUGGUUGGGUGCGGUGUGGGCUUUGUCACAUUAAGACAGGGCCCAUCAUGGGCUUUUGCUAAAUUUUUUUAUACAAGGGAGCCUUCCAUGCUUGCAAAAUGGUGGGAUAACUUGAACCGAUCGAUUCGCUCAAAACCGUCUGAUUUCGUUGGGUUAUCGAUUCAAUCAUCGAUUUAGGUGAUUUGUGACCGGUCCAAUGCUUAGACGGUUUAAUAAAGUAAAUCUAAUAAAAAAUGUGAUGGAUCGACGAUUGAACCAGUUGGAUCAGUCGGUCCCACCCGAUUUUUAAAACAUUAGAUAAUAACAAAUUAAAAGAAGGGUGUCUCCUCAUAUGAGUUUUUUUGAAGUUCUCUACUCUUGGAGUGACUGAAAGGAUAACUGCAGCCUGGUGAGAUGGACUUUGGAAUAUGAGAAGUCAAAUCAGAGGCUCCUUCCUCCAGAUGCUUACCUCAGCCUUGUAAGCAUGAGUAAAGAUAUGGAUGGUUUACCUUCUCAAGGCAUAAACCGCAUAACAGCAAGGCCUAUAUCCUUGACUUGGUCUGAAAGCAUCCUAGCUUGGGUCCUUCUGGGAAUGGGAUUGCCACACGUAUGACCUCUGUAUCAUCAGUUUUGGGGCAAAAUAGCCAUUUUAUGUAUAAAAAAAAAUAAGCUUUAGCCCUUUACAAAACUUAUGUUUAAACUAGCUCACAUAGAGUCAUGUCAUCAUUUUUCUUUUAAACUCAAUUAGACUUUAUUUUUUAACUGAAACUUCAAUUACCAAUUGAGAAUUCAUUUUUUAACUAAAACUUCAAUUUACAAUUGAGGUUUUAGUUAACUUUGUUUUAAAUUUAAAUAAAAAAUUAAAUUAUAAAUUAUUAUUGAAAUUUAAAAAAUAUAUUUUAAUAAUAAUAAUUUAUAUAUUUAAACUUAAAUAUCUAAUAUUACUUCAAUAAAGAUAAAUUGACAAAUAUAAUAAUAAAUAAAUAUUUUAUUUAUCAAUAAAUUAAUAAUUUUAAAAUAAUAAAGUUAUAUGAAAUCUAAAUAAGAUAUAAAAUUAUAUAAUUUGUUAAUUUAAGAUAUUUAAUUUUUUGUAUUUUUAAGAUAUUAAUUUAUUUGUAUUUUGACAAAUUUAUCUUUAUUAAAAUAAUAAUAUAUUCUUAAGUUUCAUAUAUAGAUUUUUUUAUUAUUUUAAAGCAUAUAUUUAUAGUUUACGUAAAAAAAUACUAUUAUUUGUACAUACAAUAUAUAUGCCUUGAAGAUACAUUUUGAAAUUAGUUAAUAAAAUUAAUUAGAAAAAAGUCUACUAUAAAAUUUAAUUUUUAAUAGUUUCAUCAAAGUCACAAAAAAUACUCAUUAAAUAUUUAUAUUAUGGAAAAAAAAUGCCCCUCCCUAAUAUUACAUGUGAUAUAACUUAAAUUAAUAAAUUGUAUAAUUUUAUAUUUUAUUUAUAUGUCAUAUAAUUUUAUUAUUUUAAGAUUAUUAAUUAAUUGAUAAAUAAAAUAUUUAUUUAUUAUAUUUAUCAAAUUAUCUUUAUUGAAGCAAUAUUAGAUCUUUAAGUUUAAAUAUAAAAUUUUUUAUUAUUAAAGUAUAAUUUUUUAAUUUCAAUAAUAAUUUAAAAUUUAAUAUUUUUAAUUAAAUUUUAAAGUAAAAAAAUAAAAUAACUGAAGUUUCAAUUGACAUAUCUUAUUUAGAUUUCAUAUAAUAUUAUUAUUUUAAGAUUAUUAAUUUAUUUAUAAAUAAAAUAUUUGUUUGUUAUUAUAUUUAUUAAUUUAUUUUUAUUGAAGUAAUAUUAGAUCUUUAAGUUUAAAUAUAUAAAUUAUUAUUAUUAAAAUAUAUAUUUUUUAUUUCAAUAAUAAUUUAUAAUUUAUUUUUUAAUUAAAUUUUAAAAUAAAAUAAAAAUUUUAACUAAAACCUCAAUUGUCAAUUGAGGCUUUAGUUAAAAAAUAAGUUUCGAUUGACAAAUGAUACUUCAAUUAAAAAAUGAAGUCUUAGUUGGUAAUUGAGACUUCAACUUAAAUUUUAAAAAAAAAAAAUUAUGACAUAACUCCUAUAUGUGAUAAUAAAGGAACUAGUUUAAACAUAAGUUUUAUAAAAGGGUUAAAACUUAUAUUUUUUUCUACAUAAAAAACUAUUUUGCCCUAAAACUCCCGUAUCGUCGACUAGCUACUGCUUUACUCCAUGUAACAUCUUGUCUACUUAAUUAUAUGAACUUCCUGAAUUAAUGCUGGAAUGACAAACCAAGUUUUAUUGAAAAUGGAAACCUUCUUAGAAUCAAACAUUUGCUCGAACAAAUUUCGCAAUAAAAAGAGGAGAGUUGUGAAAAGAAGCAUUUUUCCUGCAGCCAAUUACCUUUUCAUACAUUACUUUAAAACAAAUUAACAAAUAGUGAUCUCAUAUUUUACCUUUUCUGUUGCAGAUUACUUUUAAAAAUAUUCUCUCCACAGGCACUCCUACGGAAUCUUUCUCCAAAUCAAACUGUACAUUUUACUCAAAUUUUAAUAUCUAAUUAUAAAUAAUUAUGGGUGAGAUUGCAAUCCUUUGCUUAGCUCUUUGAAAAUCUAUGAUGAUACUCGGUAUUAAUAUUUUAUUUUAUUAAAGAUAAAAAUAUCAAAAUAAUUUUAGAACUUUUUAGUGGGGAUAAUACUUCCCCAUUAGGCUGCUUACAAGGCAUAAAUUAAUAUUUUUUUAAUUUUAAUAAAAGCAAUUUGGUACAGUUGACUUGAUUGAUAACUAUUUAAGAUAGGAUUUAGACUAAUUUAGAUUAAUUAGAUUGCAUUUACAGUUCCGUUACCUCGAAACAAAGUUGGUGCAACAUUAACCAUGAUUAUGGUGAUAUAUUUUAGUUUUAUAUUUUUUAAGGGGAUAAUUUUUUUUUUUAAUGGUUUGAUGUUAGCUUAUAAGAAAAACCUAAACCAUAAAAGCCGAAUCUUUCCAAUAUUGAUCCAAUUUCUAUCAUUAAAAAUAUAUGAAUAAAACUUUUGAUCCUUAAAUAAAAGUAUACAAACUAUCGUACAAAAUAAUGGAAUCAAAUAUACAAAAUAAGAUUAAGGAAAUGUUUGAUAAAACUUAAUAUUUAUUAUUUAAUAAUUUAAAUUAACUCUAAGUUAAAUUAUAUUUAAGUUGUUGACUUAAAACUUAUUAUUUAAUUUUUAUUUUAAGUAUUAAGGUUAUUUAAAAAAAUUAACUUACAAUUUAUAUUAAAUCAUCAAAUUAAAAUAUUUAUCUUAAUAAAUUAUAACUAAGACAAAUAAGGUUAAAUAACAAUGGAGGUUGUGAAGUCAUAAAAGAGAUCAUAAAUGUAAUUGAGAGAAAAAAAGACAAAAAUAUAAAAUGAAGAUACUGACUUAAAAAUAAAUAAAUUUUUUUAUUUAUUAAGUCUUUUAUUUUAAGUCAUACAAUAAAAUUAUUUUAUCAAACAUAUUUAAUUUAUUUAAUAAUAUAAUUAAAAUAUUAAGUCACUUAAAGUUAUUAAAUUGGUUUACCAAACACGUACUAACGUACAAAUAAAUAAGACUAAAAUAGAAAACAAUGAAACUUAAACACAUAUAUGACAUGGUCUAUUUAAUUGUAUUUUUUUAUAAAUGCCUCUUUAAUACUUCCCAAAUCAUAACAUUAAAUUUCUUAAAUUGAUAUAAAACAUUUUUUUUUUUCUANNNNNNNNNNNNNNNNNNNNNNNNNNNNNNNNNNNNNNNNNNNNNNNNNNNNNNNNNNNNNNNNNNNNNNNNNNNNNNNNNNNNNNNNNNNNNNNNNNNNACAUAUAUGACAUGGUCUAUUUAAUUGUAUUUUUUAUAAAUGCUCUUUAAUACUUCCAAAUCAUAACAUUAAAUUUCUUAAAAUUGAAUUAUAAACAUUUUUUUUUUCUAUGAUUGAAUCAUUUAGCACUCCAAGUUUUACUAUUGGACGAAAUGUUAAGGAUCUAAUAAAUGGGUAACAUUAAUUUGCUGAAAUAGUUUUUCUUAUUACUUAUAAUGGUUUUAAGAAUGUUGAAAAAAAAAUUCAUGGGAAAACAUUUAUCAAACUCAAAUUUUGAUUCCUAUUUACUUUAUCUUUCCUUGUCAUGUCUCUUUCUAAUUUUCCUUUUUUAGCGGUUUGUUUAUUAGAACAGUAUAUCAUGCCUGUGAUUCUCUUUCUAUCACUUCUUUUCAAUUGAUUUGUUUAAUGCAAUAAUAUUUGUUUAAUGCAAUAAUAUAUCAUGUUAGACAAAAUAACACCUACCUACUACCCAAAUCCCCAAUGUGACAAUGAACUCUAUCUUUAAGCAUUAUUAUAAAAUUAAACGUAAAGGAUAUUAUAAGUUUCUUCCAUUCCACGUGCCUUUCCCAUAUAUUGAAAGGUGGAGGUUAUCAUUUUUAAAAGAUCAAUAAUUGUAAUGAAUUUUCCAUUCCACGUGCCUUUCCCAUAGAUUGAAAGGUGGAGGUGAUCAUUUUUAAAAGAUCAAUAAUUUUAAUGAAUUUCAUAUAUUUGCAUAUUUUUUAAGAGGGAAUUCAAAUUAACUCAUCUUAUUUCUCAAUGUUACGUAACUCCUGCCUCAAAUUAAAAUCAUCAUAUCAUUAUGAACAACUUUGAUACAACUAUUCAAUUUUUAAUAUGAAUUCUUUCAUUCUCAAAUCAUUGUUCAAGUUAGCUUUAUUAACUUAAAAAAACUCAUUCUUUGUCACUACUCCCUCUAUGAUUAUUAAAUGAUAAAAUUGUCAUUGUCUUAAAAACUAAUUUUGAUAAUAUAUUCAUCAACAUAUUUACAAAUUUAAAUUAAUACAAGUUGUAAGAAAUGUAUCAUAAAGAAGAUACAAAACUAGAAGUAGAUGAUAAUUAAUUAUUUUUUUUCUUUAUUGAACUUUGACACCCCAUCCAAAUGCAUUAACGAGAAAAAUAGUGUUUUAUGCUUGUUUUCAAUUAAUCUUGUCAAUAUGUACAUGAAAAACAAUGAUUUAUGCUUAUAAAUCUUAUCAAUUCGCUUAUUUGUAUAUGUAAAAUGAAAUUAUUGAAACUACACGUAGAAUUGCAUGAGGAAAAAAAUACAACUACUGCAUUUAUAAAUGAAUAAAAGCUUGGCUUAAAAUUCAAAAUUCUCAAAACUAUGUUUUCCACACCAAAAUAUUUCAUCCAGCCAACCAAACACCGAUUGAAUCCUCCCUCUAAAGCAUAUUGCCCAAGAUUACAGGCAACGUAGUAAUUACCUAGGCAAGUACGUCAGAAUUAUAGCUUCUUUUUUUUUUUUGUUUUUUUUCAGUUCAUUGACUCGGCUCCACCCAACCACUAUCAGUAUCAGUUACUACCAGAGAGGGUACUGGGUACUGGUUACUGGGCAGGAGCUUUUCCAAAUUCACAACCCGUCUUCUUUAUAUAAGGGCAAGUUUAUGUAUUUCCUCUCGCCAUUGCCUUUUGUUCGAAUCAUUUGAAGUUGAUUUUAUUAAUCCAUCAGAAAAACAUGGCUCUAACUGGUAAAUUGGAGAUUGAAACAGAGAUCAAAGCACCUGCUGAUAAGUUCUUUAAAAUCUUCAGGAGCCAAGCACACCACCUUCCUAAUAUCUGCUCCGAUAAAAUACACAAAAUCGAGGUACAUGAAGGUGACUGGGAGACUCAGGGCUCUGUCAAGCAUUGGAGUUACACCAUUGGUAGGAUAUGCAACUCGAACUCAGAACCCCAAAACACUAGCUAGCAUUAUAUUCCGUUAAAAUGUUUUUUGAUUUUUUUUCCCCAUUUCAUUGUUGUUUUCUUCACAUUUUUUUAUUCUUUUAGAAUAAAUGCAUGGCUCUUUGUACAAUUUUUCUUUUUUUCUUGCAAAGAAGUGGUCAAGUCUGGGCCGCCAGUGACUAUGAUCGAUGGUUCUUAGUAAUGUAUAUGGCAUCUAAUAUUAGCUUCAACAUAUUCCAAUUACUAGGAGGGAAUUCUAAGAGCAUUAAGGAGAGUGUGGAAUCAAUAGAUGAAGAGAACAGGUCCAUUACGUUCAAGGUUUCGGAUGGAGAGGUGCUGAACGACUACAAGAGCUACAAGUUCACCACACAAGCAAUACCAAAGGGAGAGGGCUGCUUGGUGAAAUGGACCAUUGAAUAUGAGAAGGCAAGUGAGGAUGGGCCAGAUCCCCAUGACUACCUGGAGUUUGCAGUUACUGUCACCAAAGAUAUCGAAAGUCACCUUCUCAAUGCAUAACACCAAGUCCAUACAUACCGUCUGCUAGUAUCUCUAUUAAAUAAAGUUUGGAACUUGGAAGGGCAUCUACGAUCUCUAUCCUUCAAUAUAUGCGAAGGCUUAGGGGAACUUUUAGCAGCUGUGGCUUGGUGAUUAAUGCUGAGAAGAUAAACUAGGUUUCCCUUAAUUAUUUGUGUAAUAAUGUUAGUGCAUGCGUGUAAUCGGUUGUAUGCUUGUCUGGACUCUAGGGGUUGCUUUGUGAUUGUUAAUUGGUGUCUUUUGUAAUGGGAUUACUACAUGUUAUGUGAAGACUAUAUGAUGUAUAAGGAAAUAAAGUGAAAAUUACCAGGGGCUAACUCCAUCAUGAGGAGCCUCUGAGUAUGUCCACAAGUCUACAUUCUUGCAUUCUAGUCACAUGUGUCAAAAUCAGACCCUAACAAAUUACAGUCUUGAUCAUUGAAGGGGUAAAAUCCCACUUUACAUAUAAUCUAAAUAAUUUAGCUAAAAUCUAAUAAGAAUAUCUCUCUCUACAGGUAUGUAACCUUCCAACCUUGAAUUUAAGGAUAUUUAUAUAAUUUAAAAUUAUAAAAAGAAAAUUUUGGAUAUAGGACAAAUUAAUUUUUUUUUUAAAAAAUAACGAAAGUGAAUGAAAUAUUUUUGGUUCCUAUGACCACCCACUUUUUUUACUUUUUAUUUUUAUCUCAUUUUAGUUUCUCCACGUUAUAAAAAAAUGAAAAGAUAAAAUAGAGAGGAAAAAAGACAACUUGGAUUUGUAGAAGUUUCUUUCUUUCAUGGUGUUUUUCUGUUCUGUUUUUGCCUUUGUUUCAUUCUAAAAGUCACUCACUAUCUUUAUCUCAUUUGGGUUUCCCCGCGUUAUCAAAAAAUGAAAAUAUAAAACAAAGAGGAAAAAAAAACCUAUACAAAGGUCUUUGGAAUUUUGAUUCAAAGACUUAAGAAAAGAAUAAUAAAUUUUUGCAUUUGUUCCGUUCUAAAAUUCAAGGUAAGUUUUUCACAUAUAAUUUUUUUUUAGGAAUUCUAUUAUCUAUUAAUUAUGAGAAUAGUAAAUAUAUAUAAUAAUAAUAAUAAUAAUAAUCAUCAUCAUCAUCAUCAUCAUCGUCAUCAUCAUUAUCAUUUUAAAACUAGUUAUUAGUGAUCCUAAUCAAUCGAGAACAAGUUGAUUUUCAUUACCCUUGGUAAUGGUAGUGAUAAAAUAUAUUUUUAGUUAAUAAGGGUGUAAUUAGCUUUGGGGUUUCAUUGAUUAGAAAUUAUUUCAUCUACUAGUAAAAAAAACAAAGUAAAACUAACCAUCAAGUGCAAAUCAUGAAUUUUUUUAAAUAUGAAUUGAGUAUACAAAGUAUAUUAUUUAAUUAUAUAUUUAAAUUGAAAGAGAUUAAUUUUUCAAAAAUAGUGAAUUUAAUCAUUGAAUCAAAUCAACUUACCUGUUAUAAAGAUGUGAUAUGUUCCAAAAUUUAGUUGUAUACAAUACGUGACCCUUCUUAUUAAACUAUCCUUUAUCAUUGAGCUAUCUAACUUACCUUUCUCAAUUAUUAUCCUUUAAGGUACAUCAAAUAUUGGUAUAAAUGAGAAGAGAUCGAGAUAUGAAAAGUAUUUCAAAUAGAAACAUCUUUAGAAUAGAUUUAUUUUUUAGGAUUGUUUACUUAGAUCAAGUUUAUUUUAAUUUCUAAAAUGUUUUUUUAAGUGUUUGAGAGAAUUAAAGUUAUUAUUUAGAUAUUUUAAUUAGUUUUGGAUUUGUUUGUUAAGGUCAUUCAUACAAAGAUGAUAUCCAUUUCUGUGUUAUAUUUUAUUUUAUUUAUUUAUUUCUUAUUUCAUGUAUUAAGUUUGAUAAAACUGAAGGUGAAAUCAACAUUGAAUUGCUAAAAAUGUCAAUUACUAUUGUUAAUUUAUCACAAUUAUGAUUUUUUAAUUGUAGCACAUAGUAAAAUUAUUAUUAUUAUUAUUAUUAAUAUUUAUACUCUGGUCGAACUUAUCCAUGGCCAAUCCAUCAUGUAGGCCAAUUUUGUCAAACUUAUCCAUGGCCCAUCCAUCAUGUAGGCCAAAUUUUUAUUAGCAUUUUUGGGUCAUAACUCUAGAUGCUGACAUUAAAGCAUUUCUGGCAUAAUAAUUAUUGGAAAAGGAUGUCUCCUCUUUCAUGGAUCACAACCAAUACAGCAAAGAUGAUGAUAGAUAGCAUCCUUAUCACCUCAUGUGUCUUGACCUCUUCUUCAAGCUUGAGUGUCUUGUCCUAUAUUUAACGCAUGUACCAUUGCCUCCAAGAUAUGGUGACAGGAAUUAUAUAGCUACUGACUAGCUAGUCUUCACUCCAAAAAUAUGAUGGCCACUUUUUUGAAAUAUAACUCUUUAUCCUAUUGACUUAAACUCACCACCUCUUUCAGAUCCUCCACAAGGAUCAACUUAUUAAGAGUUUGGUCGAAGUUUGAUCCACUUUUCUAAAUGAGCAAUGUUAAAUUAUUUUAUUCAAACAAAUUUGAUGAUCAAAUAUCUCUUAUUUUCUCAAAUUUAAAUAACAUUCCUUUAUAAAAAUAAUUAUAAAAUUUAUUAUAAUCACUCAUUUUCAAUGGCUCAUUAGUAGAUGUUCAUUGUAUUAAAAUACAUUUAUAUGAUUAAGAAAAACUUAUACAUUUCUAUUUUUUUUUUCUAUGCAUAAUUUAUAAUAUCUCAUAUAGGAUUUAUUGGGUUUAGAAACAUGUAAUAUUUAUAUAAUAGUGAGUGAAUUAUUAUAAAUGGUAUGAAAAUUGAUUUUCAACCCUUUAUGAGAAUUUAUUUAAUACUACAAUAUAUGACUCUAUGUUUGAUUAUGUAAUCCUAUAAGACACGAUGUCCAUUAAGUUCAUUAUAUUAUUUUUAAUUAUGUAAAAAUAUUUUAAAAUUAAAAAAAUUCAUUAAACUUAGUGCAGACGCUAUCUAUAUAAAAGGAAAUAAAUGGUUAUACUUCAUCAUAUUCGUUUCUCAUAUUUGAUAUAUAUCAAUUUCAGCGACUAUUAUUCAACAUUGCCCGAAGCAAUAGGUGCCUCACUUUUACAAAGAAAACUUCCUCUAUUGAUAUUUCUCAAAUAUAAAUUCAUGUCAUGGACUCAUGGUUAACAACCGAUAGAUCCUAAAACAAUUAGAUAUCUCAGAUAUUGAUUGACCAAAUGGACAACCGAUGCUAUAGUAAGAGCUGUUGCUGUUAUCUUUUAAUUUAAAUAUACACAAACGACAAAAUGCUUAACUAAUCCACCACCCAGGCGCCGGGCCACAGAAAUGAAAUACCGCCUACCCCAACAUUUUGGAAUUAAAAAUCUACACCACCCAGAUCUUGCUGUGAUUUGGUAAAUCCCGAGAAAUUGACAACCUUCCUACGCUGGGGAGGCGUGGUUCCAUUCAAUGCCAACAUUUUCGGAUGGGUCCAGAGAGUUGUACAGUGACUUUUAAAUAAAGAAUUGUUUUAAACCUUGACUUUGGGCUCUUUAUCAGGAAUAUGAAAAUAUUGGGCAAUGACUAGAUUCGAGAGCAGGUUGCAUGCAUAGAUAUCGCAUUAAUUUUUAGCAAUCGUUAUGACGAAAGAAAAUCUGCAGAACCAAGCGAAUUUUCCUAGUCAUCAUGAGAGACAUUAGACAAGGUUUUCAAUUCAUAAAAUUGCCUUAUCAUCUGGAAUUAAAUAUUUUCAAGCUAAGGAUGAGGUUCAAUCCGUACGGGGCAAUGAAAAUAUAUGGAUGCCCUAUAGAGUGGUUGAACAUUCUACAGUUUCGUCCCUAUUUAUAGAAGAAGAUGAAAUUUUAAGCAAUUUGCUUCAAUGCAAUUUUAGCAUAUUUCAGCUAGUCAUAGCAACGUCUAAUUUCGUUGAUGUAGAAGAAGCUAACACCAAAGAUUCAUCUAGGUAGAAAGAAGUAUCGAGCAUGUAACUAACCGCAGAACUCACAUCUAGGGACCCUAUUGUAAAUAUAACAGGUGAUGGACAUAAAGAUAGAUAUGAGUAAAAGAGUGGAACAUAAAAUCCAAAUUUCAAAAGUAUGAUAGUUUUUUAGUGUUUCUUUGAAUCUCGUAGGAAUUUAGGUCAUUUUCAAUCUCAUCCAUGAGACAAGGUACAAUAAUUGUUGAAGAAUAAGAGUAUUGUUGGGCAGUUCGGCGAGCUAUAUAUAAAGAGAGAGACUUCUUAACCAUAUAAAUAUUAUCCUCUAUAACUCUAAAUUUUUUUUUCCUUUAUCCAAUAUAAAAUAUCACAAUCACUUUUAUGUAUGCACUCUUUUUAAUCACGUCGCAUAAAAUUACACCAUUUUCAAAGCUAAAUAAACUCCUAUAUAGGGGUCAUAUAUUGACUUCAAUACUCUUUGAAACGACUCACACUUAAUCAUAUAAACUCAUUAUAAUAAUGUAUUUCCUAAUUUCAUGGAAUUUCAAUAAAAUAUUUAUUACUUUCAAAUGGGAAUUAGAGAGGAAUGUUGUCUAGCUAACUCAUAAUUCUUCUUUAUAAGUUCAAAUUAGGUAUUUACUUCUUCCUACCAUUACCUCAUAUUUUGAUUGUUUCUUCGUUAAUAUAUAGUUGGUUAAACUAAUAAACUAGAGGUUAGGAUGGAGAUCAAUUUAGAUUAUGUUUGUUUUGAGUUUAAUAAACCCUUACGACUUUAAAAUGUGUUUAGAUAGUUAAGAGAAACUUAUACAUAUAUAAUAUUAAAAAAAUUUCCUCAUUUAAUGUGAGAUAUUAUAAUCAUCACUCAUGUAGACAUAAUAUAUUUGUUGUAAGUCAGAAGAUUGUAAAACCAAACAAAUUUUUUCAUUGAAAUAUAAUAUUAUUUGUAAUGGUUCACUUUCUCUCAUGGAUCCCAACUCCAUUAGGUUCUUCAUGAAGCUUGUUUCAGUUUAUUAACCACCGAUGUAGCAAAGAUGAUGAUAAGUAGUAUUUUUGUUUCUCAUAUGUUUUCAGACCUCAUCAAGCUUGAGUGCCUUAUCCCAUCUCUAACGCAUGUACCAUUGCCUCCAAAAUAUGUUGCCAGAUUAUACAUAAUAUCAUAAUUAUAGCUACUGAAGUCCAACGACUACCUAGCUAGUCUUCACUCCCAAAAACAUGAUGGUCACUUCUUUGAAAUAUAACUCUUAUCCUAGUGACUCAAACUCACCACCUCAUUGACAUCCGUCAUAAGAAUUUCAGAGACUCUUCAAAGUUUGAUCCACUUUUAUAGAUGAAUAAUGUAAAAUUCUUUUAUUCAAACAAAUUUGAUGAUCAAAUAUCUUUUCUUUCCUAAAAAUUAUAUUUCCUUUUUAUAAAUCUUAUUUUAAUGACCCAAUUACAGUAUGGUAGAUAUUGUUUGUUUCGAGUCCAAUAAACCCUUAUAACUUUAAAAUAUGAUUAAAUAGUUAAGAGAAACUUAUAAAUAUAUAAAUGUGAGGUCAAAUAAAUUUUCAUAUUGAGAUAAAAGAUUAACUUUAAUACUAUUUGUAAUGGUUUACUUUCUUUCAUGUAAACAUCAUCCACUUUAUACUCAAUGAAUCAUUGAAGCUUUAAAACAUAUUUACAUGAUUAAAAGAAACUCGUACAUAUAGUAUUAGAAUUUUUUUUUUCUGACCCAUGAUUUGCAAUAUAUGUAUAAAUACGUUUUAAAGUUAUGAGGAUUUAUUAAGUUCAGAGUAAAUAGUAUUUAUAUUAAAUGGAAUGACAUGUCACAUGCAAAUAAUAUCAAACUCAAUCUCCAAUUUUUAUAUAAGAGUUUGUUUGAUUUUAUAAAAAAUGUUUGUGUGUUUCAUUCUACAAUUCUGUGAGACACAACAUCCAUUUAAUUUAUUAAAGUCUUUUUAACUAUGUAAACAUGUUUUAAGUUGUUAAGAUUGAUUGGGUAAAAACAGAAGAGGUGAUUGUGUGUUUUAUCCUACAAUUCAAUGAGGCAAUGCCUAAUUGAUUCAUUGGGGUACUUUUAAUCGUUAAUGCAUGUUUCAAUGUUGCUAAGAUUGAUUGAGUGAGGAAAAUAUCUACAUAUGAAAGGCAACAGUUAGUUACACUUCAUUAUGUUUUUUUCUAAUAUAUUGAUAUAUGUCAAUUUCAGUAGUUAUUAAUUCAACAUCGCCCAAAGUAACCAAUGCCUCGCUUUUCCAAACAAAACUUUCUCUAUUGAUAUUUCUUAAAUAUAAAAUCAUGUCAUGGUAAGCAUCCGAUGGAUACUAAGACAAUUGGAUAGAUAUCUCAGAUAUUGAAUGGACCAAAUGGGGUAACGGAUGUGGUAGUAUACAAGCGCUGUAUAUCUUUUAAUUUAGAUAUACACACACAACGUAAUGCCUAAUCCAUCCAGCCGGGGGGCCGGCCAGAGAGAUAUAAAAUACCCCCAAUCCCAUCAUUUUGUAUUUUGUAUUGGAAUUAAAAAUCCAAACCCAGAUAUUGCUAUGAUUUGGUAAAUCCCGAGAAAUUGAGAACCCAUCCUGGGGGAGGCAUGGUCCCCCUAUUCAAUGCCAACCCUAUUUUCAAAUGGUGUCUAAAGAGUUGUACAGUUAACGGUGACUUUAAAAUAAAGAAUUGCCUUAAACCUUGAUUUUAGGCCCUUCUUCAAGAAUAUGAAAAUGCAUGUUGGGCAAUGAUUUAGAUUCGAAAGUGGGUUCUGCAGACAUCACAUUUCUGCAGAGCCGAAAAUAUUUACAAGCGUAGGACGAAGCUCAGUUCAGAUGGGCCUCGAAGAUGAAUUUUUAAGCAAUUUGCUUGAUACAUUCAGCAAUUGAUAAUUUAAAAUAAAAAAAAUUAGGAAAUAGAAAGUAAAACAUAUAUGGUUAAAACUUCAAUGCAAUUUUAGCAUAUUUGAACUAGUCAUAGGAGCGUUUAAUUUCUUUGAUGAAGAAGCUGAACACCAAAGAUUCAUCCAGGUAGAAAAAUGUAUUGACCAUCUAAUUGUCUGCAGAACCUACAUCUAAGUACCCCGCUAUAAAUAUAAGAGGCAACUUAGGUGAGGGACAUAUAGACACAUACGAAUGCCAUUGUAGAAUAUAAAAUCCAAAUUUCUCAAAACUAUAAGGUUAUGUUUGAAUCCAAAAAAAUAUUAGAGGAAGUGAAAAUGUUAAGAAAAAUAAUUUUUUAUGAUUAAUUUUAUUAUAAAAAAUAUAAAAAAUAAAUAUAAUUAAAAUUAGUUAGAAUUUUACAUAUUUUUAAAUUAUAUAAUUUGAAUUUAAAUAAAUAUAUAAAAAUAAGUCAUUAAUUUUAGAUCUAUUUCUUUUUUCUUUUUUUAUAUUCUCCCACAAAAUUUCAGUAACCGAACACAACCUAAUAGUUUCCACUGUUUCUUUGAAUUUCUCAACUUCAAAAUCUCUUGUCUAUGAGACCUCAGAGUAAUUAAUUCCUACCUCUUGGUGACUAGGCCAAGCGCAUGGAUAGGCACAUUGACCCACUUGUAAUUGCCUAGGCUAAUAGGCCAAGCUCAUAGCAAUUUUCCUUUUUUAUUUUUUAAUUUCGUCGUAGGACUUGGUCUCCACAAGGCACUAUAACGUAUCCCCUAAUUUCAUUUCAUGGAACUUUAAUAAAAUAUCUAUUGCUUUCAAGUGGGAACUGGAGAGCAACGUUGCCUAGCUAACUCACAAUCCUUCUAUAUAAGUUCAAGCUAGGUAUCUUCUUCCUUCCACCACUGCCCACUGCCUUGUAUUAGGAUAUCGUUUCUUAGUUAAUAUAUAGUUGAUUAAUUUCCAUCUCCAACUACUACUAUUAUUAGAAAAAUAUGGCUCUAACUGGCAAGCUAGAGGUUGAAAUGGAGAUCAAUUCACCUGCGGAUAAAUUCUAUAACAUCUUCAGGAGGCAAGCACACCACAUUCCUAAUAUCUGCUCAGAUAAAGUACACCAAAUUGAUGUACAUGAAGGUGACUGGGAGACUCCAGGCUCCGUCAAGAACUGGGGUUAUACUCUUGGUAAGGCAACCACAACUCAAACCCCAAAACCCUAGCACUAUUAGUCUGUAAAAAAAAAUGAUUUUUUUAGUUUUUCUAUUUCAUUUAAUUGUUUUUUUGUUUGGCAUUUUCCCCUUUAGAAUAUUAAUUUAACUGCAUUAAUUCGGAGUUGAUCCCAUCAUGUGGAAGUUUAUGCUUCUGUUAUGAAUACAGCUUUGUAUGCCUUCCUUAUGUUUAAUUCAACCUAAAGCAUGUAGAAUUGAUGGUCAAAGUCUAUGGGACCCUUUUUUCAUGACCGCCAUGCAUGGGGCUUUCCCAGGUGACUGCCCGCUACUAAAGGGGCCUAAAGUUUAGGUCCCCCGAGUUAGAACUUAGAAGAGGGAUUAUGAAUGAUCAGUGAAGUUGUAAGGUUUUGAUCUUCUUAGAUAUUACCUAGAAAGAGGAUUGACUUUACUUGACUUUUACCAUAUUGAUUUAGAGAUUGGCGAUUGCUUUAAAAGGUUGUGUCAACAGAAGAAAACUUAAAAAAUAUUAAGAAAAAUAAAAAAAAUGAUUUUGUUUUUAUAAAAAAAAUCAAAUAUAAUAAAAACGAGUUGAAAUUUUAUUUAUUUUUAAAUUAACUUUUAUAUAGAAGAAUUAAAAUACGUUAAGUAAAUUUGAAUCAAAAUAUAAAAAUAAUUAAUUUCUUAAUUUUAAAUUUAUUAUUUUUCUUUUAACUUCUUUUUUGUUUUUUCAUUUUCUUUUCUUUUGUAUUUUCUUCAAAUUUUUUUAGAACCAAAUAUAGUCAUUAUGAAAAGAUGGGCCACGAAGUGACUACGCAUGUCAAUUUGCUUGAGAUUUCGCAAUCUAGUAGUUUCAAAAUACUAUGCUUAACCCCUUGUUUUGGUUUGAAAUUACUAGGAGGGACUUCUAUGAGCCUUAAAGAGACUGUGGAAUCAGUAGAUGAUGAAAACAAGUCAAUCACUUUCAAGGUUGUGGAUGGAGAGAUCAUGAACCAUUUCAAGUGCUUCAAGUCCAACUUGCAAGUAAAAGCAAAGGAUGAGGGCAGCUUGGUGAAAUGGAGUCUGGAAUAUGAGAAAGUAAAUAAGGAUGUCCCAAAUCCUGAUGCUUACCUGGAGUUCGCAGUUAAUGUUACUAAAGAUAUUGAAAGCCACUACCUCAAGGCAUGACACCAAGGCCAUGUGGUAUCCUCGGUAGUAUUACUUCAAUAACGCUGGUGUUUGUAAUUUGGUUGAGUUGUAUGCUUUACCAGGAGUGGCCUUGUGAUUGGCUGGUUUCUUUUGUAAAGGCAUUAUCAUAUAUGAUGUAAAUACUGUACCUUAAAUAAAAAGAAAAUCAGCAAAGACCCUCCUUUUUAAUGUGGAUAAUUGCUUUUAAUGUCACCUUUGUUGAUCGGUUUACAAGACAAGAGUUAACAAGUAGUCCCUAUUUAUUAAAUAUAAGAAUUUUCUGUAUCCAUUAAUCAUCAUCAGUAAGCUAAUAAAAUGGCUGAUAUUUUUCUUAAUAAAAACAGCAACAGUUACUGAGUUUAUAUAUAGGACACCAGUUGCAGAUUAGAUUUCUUUGGCUUGAUUGUGAUCUUUCUACAUGUUGGAAAAAUAUUGUCAUUUGGUAUUUAAUAUCAAAUUUUAAAAAUAAUAUUUAAGAUAUGAAGAAAAAAACAUACAAUGAUUCAUAUUUUUAACUUUAAUAUGAUUUAAAGUUCAUCGAGUAACCGUUUUGAAAUCAUUCACCCUUGAUCUUCACUUUCCUAGUCUCCCUUUACACGUUCCUUAGUGGUGAGUAUGAAAAUGAUUCCAUUGAAUUGUAAGAAUGGAAAGAGGGAUAAAAAAUUCUUCUAUUUAUAAGCAUAGAAUGAUUCUUCUUAUCAGUGAACCAUUAACUAAAUACUUUAAACAUAUUAUUAAUUAAUAAUAAUAAUAAUAAUAAUUAUUAUUAGAAAAUAAAUUUCAUAAAUAUUAUAAAUUUAAAAAAGAAUCUAAUUUAAUUCUUAAAAAAUUUAUGCAUGAAAUUUUUAUAUUAUUUUUAAUUGUUUUCUAAGGGUUAUUUUAAGAAAUUAUUAUACAAACAUAUAAAAUAAUUAAAAAUAAAACAAUAGAUAUAAAAAUUAUUUUUAAAAAUAUUAAAAAUAAAUUCAAAAUAUUUUAAGUUGCCAAACAAAUUUUUUAUUCUACAAAAAUCAGAGAUAGUUUUCAAAAUCUCUUUUAAAAAACUAUUUUUCAGAAUUAUUUUAAAAAAUAGUUACCAAACAAGCCCUAAAAGAUUUAUAUAUAUAUAUAUAUAUGAAAUUAAAAAAAUAUCAAAUAAUAAAAAUUCAAACAAUGGUAAGGGUGUCACUAAUGAUCGGUUUGGAUUUAAACUAACAUUUUUUUAUAUUGAGUAAUUUAUUUUUUAUUCUAUAUAUUAGAAAAUUGAAUUUAAAUGUAACUUUUUCAAAUAAAAUAGUUAGAUCACACUUGAUAUAUAGUAAUAAUUUUUUAAAAACUAAUGGUCAUAAUUUAAAAAAAUGAUGAAAAAAAAAUCUCAAAUAUAUUGCAUAUGAAUGUAUAUAUUUAGUUUUAUACAACAUGUUAGACAUAUAUUAGUUAUUAACUUAUUAUAAUCUACUAAAAUAUUAAUUCUAUACGAGGGGAUUAGAUUUCUCAUUGUUGAUUUUAUAACCCUCAUUGUGGGAUUAUAAAAUGUCAUUGCAAUCACUCCCAAUUUAGUCUAUGCAAAUCAAAUAUAGAAAUGCAAUUUAUCUCUGUCACAAUUUGUUACACAAUAAUGAUAAUGGAUAAUAAAUAAAUAAAUAAAUAAAAUUAAAGAACACACAUUUAUGUAUAAAACUUUAGAUGAGAAAAAUCAUGGAUAAGGAAAAUGAAUAUCCAAUAUAUCAAAAGAUUGGUAUAAAAGAUGAGAAAUAUAAACAACUAUGAUAAAAAUAUAAUCAUCAUAACCUUAAAAUUAUGUGAAAGUAAUUAACAAAGUAGGUCCAUACAUAAGGACAAAGAGCCCCCUCAAAGGUAUCAAUGGUGGGGGUGUGGGGUGUGGGAUCGGAUCAAAUUCCAACGUUAUCAAUGGUAGGCUAGGGGAUCGGAUCAAAUAGAAUUUGGAUCGCCAAACCUUAAUACAUUUUAUGCUUUUUCUUAUUGGUUUAGAUUUAUGAUAAUCUCCUCCACCAGCAAAAUAAAGUUAUACCGGAGGAUUUUCUUUGUUUUGGCUGUCACACUUUCACUUCUUUGCUAAUAGCCUAACAUCAAAUGAGAAAAUAGAGACAUUUUAAAAAUGAGAACAAAUUCUCGAGGAUUUAGUUGUCUGCCACUAGACUAUAAAAAAUGCUUUCCUGUUAUUUUACCCCCUAAAAUAAGUUUGAUACAAUGCAUCUAUUUUCUGGCUCCGACAAUGUUUAAGAAUACAUCAACCGACCUCAAACCACAUUAUUUCGGUUUGAAAAGAAGGCUUUAUUAUGUCAGUAUGGCUGCUAAGAAGACUUUUGGAAUAUAAUAAAACAAGUCCAGCGAGUUGAUGGUUUGGAAUCGAGAGAUCAUGAAUGAUUUCCCUACUUUAGAGUCAAUAAUUAAGUGGAAUGUGAGAAGGUGAAUGAGGAUGGCCCGGGAUCCAAUGCUUACUAAACUAUUGAAGAUCACCUUCCUGAGGCAUAAUUCCAUUACUUUUCAUCGACGCUGCGAUGCUAUAAAAGAAUAUUAUAAAAAUGCAAGGGUAAUGAAAUAUUGUACAGCCUUUACCGUAUUGAAGAACGUGGACUGAUUGCUAGGGUACCCAACACCCACCAUAAUUCCCACACCAACUCCCAACCAACCCGAUCACGUAGGGCCUCACAUGGCCUCAUUAUCAUUUAUGUGGAAAGAUAAUGCUAAACUAUAUACGGGAUGGCCAUUCUACCAGCCAACCUGUAAUGAUUUUGAUAAAAGUAUACUAAAAAUAGAAGGAGAAAUUAAGUUAUCAUUUGAUAACGGUUUUUAAAAAUUGUUUUUAAUAUUUUAUAAAAUAAAAUUUUAUUUAGAAAUACAAAAUAUUUUUAACUUAUUUUUAAUAUUUUAUAUGUAUAUAUAUAUAUAUAAAGAGAGAGCGCUUUAUUUUUAAUUAUUUUUCAUAUUUAUAUAAUUAUUUUUUAAAACAAUUUCAAAAAAACAAGUGAAAAUAACUAAAAAAAUAUUCUUUGAGAUAAAGAUCAAAAAACAUAAAAUAGUUUUUUUUAUUAUCAAACAUGUUUUAUGUUUUCUAAUCUGUGUUUUUUUAAUUUGUUUUUUGUUUUCAAAUCUUAAGAUCACUUAAUUUUUUAGGGUUUUUUUUAAGAAAUAAUUAUAUAAAUAUAUAAAAUAAUUAAAAAUAAAAUAUUAGACAUAAAAAUUAUUUUUAAAACAUAUUUAAAAAUAUUAAAAACAAGUUUAAAAUAUUUUAAGUUAUAAAAUAAGCUUUUUUUUUUUUACAAGAAUCAUAAAAUAAUUUUUAAAAACUAUUUUAAAAUAUUAUUUUUGAAAAUAAUUAUCAAACCCCUUAUUUUCUAUUCUCAAAAAAUGUUUUUUAAUUAUCAAAUGUGGUGUCUAUUUAAAUUUAAGAUUUUAAAUUUUAAAUUUAGUUAUUUCCAAGUUAUGAUCUCUUGAUAUUAUUUCAACCUAUUAUUUAUUUAUUUGUUUGUUUUUCACAUAAAUAAACUAAAAUUCAAUUGUAUAACCCAGUAUGAAUCACGUGGGCCCUUAGUGAGGCUGGCUACAACUAAAUCAACGUUCUUUUGAUAAUCGAUUGCCUAUGAAAGAAAUCAUCACGCCUUACACACAAUAGAAUAAAUUAAUAAGAAAGUAAGAAGAUUAGAAAGAAAAGCAUCUUAGAGGAAGGGUUUUUUUUUUUUUAACUUCUUGGUGGUGACACUGGAUGGGCUUUUGAUAAUUGUACGACGAAUUUAAAAUUAAUGUUUUAAAAUACGGUAUUAAAAAAUAUUUUCAAAUUUAUGGUACUUUUUACCACUUUGAAACAUGUUUCUUAAAAAAGCAUAUUUCAUCGUUUUUAUAUUAAUGAUACACAUUCAAAAAAAAAAAAAUUAAAGGUGUCUUUUUGAAAUAUAUUUUUCAUAAUUUUUAUAUCAAUAACACACAUUAAAAAAUUUUGAAUUUAUAUUAAAAGUGUCUCUUCAAAAAACACAUUUUAUAAUUCCAUAAAAUUAAAUUUAUAUUAAAAGUGUCUUUUAAAGAUAUACUUUUUACAAUUUUCAUAUCAGUUAUAUAGUGAAAAAAUUGAAUUUAUAUUAAACAUAUUUCUUUAAAAGACAUUUUCUACAAUUUCAUAAAAUUAAAUUUAUAUUAAAGGUAUCUCUUUCAAUAAUUUUUGUAUCAAUCAUCCAUUGAAAUAAUUGAAUUUAUACUAAAAAUAUCUUUUUAAAAGACACCAUCCAUAAUUUCAUAAAAUUAAAUUUAUAUUGAAAUGUUUCUCUUUAUACUUUUAAUAUAAAUUUAAUUUUUUUAUAGGUGAUUAAUAUAAAAAUUAUGAAAAGUAUUUAUUUAAAAAAUAUUUAUUAUAAAUUCAAUUUUAUAGAAUUAUAAAGACGUCUUCAACGUAAAUUCAAUUAUUUUUUCAAUGUGUAAUUGAUAUGAACAUUAUGAAAAAUGUCCUUCAAAAGACACUUUUAGUAUAAAUUUGAUUUUAUGGUAUUAUUAAAAGUAUAUUUCUUUAAUAUAAAUUCAAUUUUUUAACAUGUAUAACUAAUGAAAAAUUAUAAAAAAAUUAUAUUUUGAAGAGAUAUCUUUAAUAUAAAUUCAAUUUUUUAACAUGUAUAACUAAUGAAAAAUUAUAAAAAAAAUUAUAUUUUGAAGAGAUAUCUUUAAUAUAAAUUCAAUUUUAUAGAAUUAUAAAAGAUAUCUAUUGAAAAAAUACUUUUAACAUGUAUCAUUGAUAUGAAAAAUAUAGAAAAUAUCUUUUCAAAAAACACUUUUUAAAAUGGUAAAAAGUACCAUAAAUUUAUCAAAAGUUUUAUAACUAUCAUAGAAAUUUUUUUCAAAAGUUCCAUUUUUUAAUAAUUAUUUUUUUAAAUAGCCGUACAAGUUAUAUAAAAAAAAACCCGAUACUCCAUAAAAUGUGAUCAAGUAGGAUUUGCAUCAUGCAACCUCAUACAAAUAAUAAAAAGCAUAAAUCACUUGAAACUUGAAAGUGAUUGGAAUUUGGCAGACUCUAGCUAGCUAGGUUGCCAUAAAUGACAUGGGUCAGUGGCCGACACCCACCAAACCCAGCACUUAAUAAUAUAAUUAAUAUACUAUUAUUAUAGAACCAUCGUUUUCAGGAUAGGGAGCAUCAAAUUAACCUCCCCAAGUCAAACUGCACAAUUUGUUUCAUCGAAAUCGAAUAUCUAAUAAUGAAUGAUUAUGGGUGAGAUUGCAAUCCGCCAAUCCUUUGCCUAGCUCUUUGAAAAUCAAUGAUGAUGCUUAGUAUUAAUAUUUUAUUUAUCUUUUUAAUAUGAAAAUAAAAAUAUCAAAAUAAUUUUAAACUUUUUUCGUGGAGAUAAUGCUCCCCAGUUAAGCUGCUUAUAAGGUAUAAAUUAAUAAUAACCUUUUAAUUUUAAUAAAAGCAAUUUGAUACAUAUCACAUCUUAAUUCACUUGAGUAAUAACUAUUUAAGAUUGGAUUUAGGUUAACUUAGAUUAAUUAGAUUGUAUUCAGGUUAAUUAAACCAUAAUCAUAUUAUUAUCAACAAUUUCUCACAACUAUCCUAUUUUUAAUAUGAAUUAUUCCUAGUUCUCAAAUUAUUGUUUAGGUAGUUUUAUUAUCUUAAAAAACAUCUUUUUUUGUCAUUGGUUCUGCAUGGUUAUUAAAUAAGAAAAUUAUAAUUAUCUUAUCAACUAAUUUGAAGACUUUUCACAAAUUCAUACUUUAAAAACCUCUUUCUUUGUCGUGGGUCCCUACAUGGUUAUUAAAUAAUAAAAUUGUAAUAAUUUUAUCAAUUAAUUUGAAGACUUUUCACAAAUUUAUACAAUACUAGUUAUCGGAAAUGUGUCACAAAGAAGAUGCCAAGCUAAAAGCAAAUCAUGAUUCAUUAUUUUUUUUCCCAAUUGGAGCUCGAUGACCCAAUCCGAAUGCAUUAACAUCAAAAUUAGUGUUUUAUACUAUUUUCAAUGAACCUUGUCAACAUGAUCGUGAAAUGAUUUAUGAUUAUUUUCAAUAAACCUUUCAUCGAAACUAUGUGUAGAACUGCAUGAAUAAAUAAGAAAUUUUCAUAGUUACAGAUUUGCAUUAUCUCACUCUAUAUGAUUUUAUAUAGUUUUUUUUUUAAUACUUCUGCAACAUUUCUUUAGAAAAAAUAUUGUAUCAAUAAAUUCAGUAAUUUUCAUCAAUUUCAAUCUUAUAAUUAAAUGAUACUUCUGUCAUGUAUAUCACCAUACGUGUCACACUUCAUUCAAGAUCAGGUUGAUUAGUCAUGUAUACCUGCUCCAUUAAUAAAGUAUUAAGUUUUUAUUUUAUUUUAUUAAAAUAAUAAAUAAAUAAUAUAAUUUUUUUUUAUUAGAGGUAGUUAGGUAUCAUUAAAUGAUUUGUUGUCCUGCCAUGUCCCCAAUUAAUAAUUUUAUACUUUUCAUUUUUUUCAAAGGAUUUAAAAUAUAAAAUAUUAAAGAUAAAAUAUCUGAAAGUACCGCUUCCAUACCCAAUCAAAUUUUAAAUCUAAAUUAUUGACAUGUGAGUGAAAUUUGGACUAUUAAAUAAAAAGUGAAAAAAAAAUAAAAUAAUAAAUAAUUAAAAAUGUUCCUGCAAGGAGAUGUGACUAAGGUUAAAAAAGGAGGGGAUAAGGAGCGGCUAGGAAUAUGUAAACAAAAUUCAAAUAAUUAAAAAACGAAAUGAUAACUUCUCAAUGAAAUUGAAUGUUUCAGUUCUAAAAUCCAAAACAAAAACUAUAGUGAAAGAAAAAUUUGAGAAAAUAUAGCAUGGUCUUCUCUUUAAUGAUUGAUAAAUAUUUAUAUAUAAAUAAAGUUUAUUUUCCAUUAUAAUUUAGAUUAGUCGAGUCUUGUUUUCUACUCAAAUUCAAACUUCACAUUUUGUUAUAAUUUAAUCUAAUAAUAAUUGUUUUCACAAGACAAGCUGAAGUUAUCCAUUAAAAUACAACUUUUAAUUAAUAGUUUAAAAAAUAAGAUAAAUUUGAAAAUAAUUUUAAAAUUUAAUAAGUAUAUAUAUUUUUAAAUAGCAUUUUUUUUUUUAAAUUGCCAAAUCUAUGCUCAGAAAAGAUCCACAAAAGUUGAUCAACAAAAGAUACCGAACAGGAAGUAGAUGAUAAUCCAUUAUUUUCUUCUUUAUUAAAGUUUGACAACCCAAUCUGAAUUCAUUAACGUGAAAAGCAGUGUUGUAUGCUCAUUUUCAAUGAACCUUGUCAACAUGCACGUCAAAAACAAUGAUUUAUUAACUACGUACAUGUAGAAUUCCAUGGGAAAAAAAAAAAUACAAUUAAGGCCUUGGGAGAUGAAUAAAAGCUUAACCUAAAAUUCAAAAUUCUCAAAACCAUGUUUUUUCACACCAAAAUGUUUCAUCCAGCCAACCUAAGACCGAUUGAAUCCUCCCUCUAAAGCACAUUGCCCAAGAUUACAGGCAACGUAGUAAUUACCUAAGCAAGUACGUCAGAAUCAUAGCAAUUUUUACCAAAGUGGGUAUCGGGAAGGAGCUUUGCCUAAUUCAUUCUUCGACAAGGUUAUCUACUUCCUCUCGUCACUGCCUUCUGUUUGAAUCAUUUGUAGUUAGUUUUAUCAAUCCAGCUAGUGUUAUUAUCAGAAAAACAUGGCUCUAACUGCUAAAGUGGAGACUGAAACAGAGAUCAAAGCACCUGCUGAUAAGUUCUUUAAACUCUUCAGGAGCCAAGCACACCACCUUCCUAAUAUCUGCUCCGAUAAAAUACACAAAAUCGAGGUACAUGAAGGUGACUGGGAGACUCAGGGCUCCGUCAAGCAUUGGAGUUACACCAUUGG
rnacentral:lncRNA from 1 species